rnacentral:lncRNA from 1 species
UUGGCUUCACCUACAAUGAAAAUCUCAUAAUUAUCUUCUCUGUGCGUCUUCACACUUAAUGUAAAUUGUUUUUUAAAACACAAACUCGAAUUUCUUCCCUAAGUCGAGCUCCUGUGGAUUUGUCUAUUUUCAUAGCUUGCACCAUAUUUUGAUACCACUUAUUAGGGAUCAUGACAUCUUUGAUACCAUUUGUUACGCAAAAAAAUCUCAAAUCUAAUCACACCAAUGGAAGUAAAAUCAAACGAUCAAUCAACCACACAAAAUACAACAAUAUAACAUAGUUCGGCUUAACUGACUUACGUCCAAGGAUGAGAAAAAAGAUCUACUAGUUGUAGAGAAUUAUAAACAUAUAAUCCAUAUUAAGCACUCACAAUUAAUACUCAUAAAUCCUCUCAAUCUCCUUUAAUCUUAUGUAGUAUUCUCAACCCAAAUAAACACAUACCUAUAUGCAUACCUAUAUAGACCUUUUUAGUCUCCUUUAGUCCACUCAUAAACAUUCAAUAAUAUACACCCAUAAUAUGUAAAUUCCCAAUACUAUGGGGUAUCUAUCCCAUAAAACUCUAAACUAUUUUAUAUCUUUUUCUUAUACCUAAUUAUGUAAAUAUUUCAUCUAUUUAUAAGCAUACAAAAUUACCUAUUAAAUAUUUUCUUUCUUUAAAAUUUUUUUUUUCUACAAGCCUUUUCAUCCAUCAAAUAAUAUUUAAUUAAUUUUAAAUAAAUCUAUUAUAAAUUUUGAGUUACUAUUUCUAACAAAAAAUUCAUGUUCUUAUCAAUAAUUAUAAACCUGUUUGUGAGUCACUUAUCUAGGUUUAGUACAUUAAUAAAGUUUGGCACCAUAAAUCUCCUUUUCUUCCUUAUAAUCUUUACCAAAGAGCUAUUUCUAGAGUUGGGGUUGAUUUUGUUGACAAAAAUGUACUUCCUUUCCUUCUUUUUACUACUUUUUUUAAGUAUAAGUUUCUUUGAUUUAGUCAAACUGACUUUGAAUUUUGGAGGGGUUUUUCUUUAUAUAUGAUAUAUAAAAAUAUAAACAGUAAUUGUUAAGCAAAGUGCUAGUAUGAUAGACUGAUUUGAUUUGAGAUACUUUGUGUUUCAUUUUUUUUUUUUUUGGUAAUUUUGAUAAUUAGAUGCCUAAUCAAGUCAAGUUAUGGUGAAUAAUAUUUUUUUGGUAUAAUCGAUAUUGAAUCAAGCAAUGAGAGAUAACAUUCAUUCAUUUUCAUAAAUCUCAUCUCACUUGUAUCAAAAUAUACCAAGUUAAAAACUUAGAGCUUUACUCAAUUAAUUUUUUAUCUCUUUUCCCAUCUUAGAUUGGGAUUUUUUUACCAAAAAAAAAAAAAUCCAAAUCUCUAAAAUAAAAUCGUAAACUCUAAUCAUAGAGAUGUUUCCUUGGCGAGAAUUCUAUCUAGCUUGCUCGAGCUUCAUUCAGGUCAACUUCUUAUUUACGCAAUCUAUAGCUUGGUUAAGAACUUGAAAAUGAUUAAUUUGUUUUUAUUAAUCAUUUUAUCUAAUUAACACAAUUGAUUUAGAAAGUUUGUUGCUAUUGGUUUAAAAUAUUAAGCUCAUUCGGAAAUAAGUCAACUAAUGUGAUAACUUUCUAAAUGAUAUUGAUUAAUUGGCUCACUAUUUUCAAACCUUUUCUAGUUGUGAUAUUGUUUAUCUUGUCACUAUCGAAAAUUGGAUCUGAUAACAGUGAUGAUAGUUGAUUGAGACUGGAGACUGCAUAUAAAUAGUUUGUAUUCCUCCAAUCUUCAAUGGAGACAGGAGGAAAUGAUUAAUUAUUGAUUACCUUGACCAUUUAGCACUUUGUUGUUUUUUUUUUUAAAUUCUUAGGACUCUUAGGAUUUUAAUCCUGAUUAUCUGGAUGUUGUGCCUAAAUUAUUGUUUAAUAAAAAUGCAGGUAUAUGAUCUUGGGAGGAAAAUAUGGGCAACCAAGGGAGAAGAACAGGCAAAUGCAAAAAAAGAAUUUCUUGAGAGCCUGAAGCUAUUGGAAGGAGAGCUUGAAAACAAGCCUUACUUUGGUGGACAAAAUCUUGGUUAGUAGAUAUUGUUUUUGUCCCAUUUUAUAGCUGGUUUUAUGCCUAUGAGAAGUGUGGCAAAUUCAGCAUCGAAGCAGAGUGCCCCAAACUGAUUGCAUGGGCUAAAAGGUGUAUGGAAAAGGAAGGUGUAUCCAAGUCUCUUCCUGAUCAAGAAAAAGUUUACGGCUUUGUUUUGCAGUUGAAAAGACUCUUUGAAACUGAGUGAAAUUGUGGAUCCAACUACUUCUAAUUACCAUGUUUUAUGGUUGGUUUGAAUAAAUGGGCAUUUAGUUGUGGCUAGUUGUUUUGUGUUGUUCGGGUGAAUGGAUUUUUUUUUUUUUCUGUUGUGAAAGAUAGUUAGAGCACUUAGAUGAGCUGGUGUGAUAUAUUUCAUAUAUAAGUAUGUUUUACCUGCUGUUCAUUGUGCACAUGUUCUUUGUGUAAUUUGAGUGCUUUUCUCAACUUGGCUAUCCAUGUUGACCACAAAAAAUUUUGGCCUACUUUGACAAGAACAUCAAUGAAUUAUCAUUGAUGUCAUUUUUUUUUAUUGUACUUAAGAAUGUUUUCCUAAUUUUAACUAAAAAAAUUGCAGGUCAUCAUUUUUGUAAAUUUGUUUAAUGCAUACUUAAUUAAAUUUUAGAGGGGAUGAAAUCAAAAUAAUUUUCAAUCGAUGUCUAAUUAAAGGUUUUUCAAAAAGUUUACAUCUUGGGUUUUUUUGUAAUAUUUUUAACAUCAAUACUGAUGUAAUCAUUAUAUCAGUGCAUUAAAUAAUAAAUAAUACGAGAAUCUUAUACGACUCUGAUUAUAAAUGAAACUAUACAGCAUUUUCAGAUUUUCAGGUUCAACUUCUGAAAAUACUUUGUUUUUUGUAAGAUAAUGGUUUAAACUAUGUUCUAAGGAUUCCACUAGUCUGAGAGAUUGCAUUUUCUGCGUAGUUUCUUUUCCGAGCUACCAAAACUUUCACAUCUUUCUUAUAAAUUACUGUCCGCAUUAAUUGUAUAUAUUUUUAAUUUUAGAUUCAAAUUAUUGAAUAACAUAUUAUAUCAGUAAUUUACAAAGAAAUAAGUAAUUUUAGAUUCAAAAUGUUGAAUAUGAGAAUAUAUAUUAAUAUUAUUAUAUCAAUACCAAGAAAUAAGUAAUAAAAUUAACAUAAAUAUUAUAACCCAAGUUGUAAGUUACGGGGUCUUGCAAUAACUGUACCAUUUCAUAAAAAAUUAAUAAUGCAUCCUUUCCUGUCAUAUUUUUUUUUAUAAAUAUUAUUUUAUUUUAAUUCAAAAUUGUACACAUGGGAUGGAUCGGGCUUGAACCUUACACCUGAGUCAGUUGUCAGCGUCUUUCAUAGGCUAGCAUGGCAAAAGUCCAACCAAUGCAACAUCAACGUUCAAACGGGCUUUUUCUCACCAAUAUAAGACAGCUACGCAUACUCUCCCCCCACUCCCAACAAAAAAUAUCGUAUAUAUAUAUAUAUAUAUAUAUAUGAACAAGAAAUGGGUUAUCAUUCAACUAUCAUGAAAGUAAGUGUUAACAAAUAUACACGAACGUUUGAAGAGCUACUGACAAAUCCAUUUGACAUUACAAGAAAAUAGCAUAUUAACGGUAGUUUUGUAACGGAUUUUCAUUUACAAACAUUACUAAUUUUCGUAUUUUUAUAAAAUUUAAGGUGUUUAUUAUCAAAACGUCACUAAAUAUUCAAAUAGCGACGUUAUUACUUAUAAACGUCACUAAAAACAAAAACUAACGGUAUUUAUCAACUAAAACGCAUUAAAUAAUUUUUUCGAAAAAAUUAGAGUGAUUAUUAAAGGCAUUUUUAUGCAGAAAACGUAUUAAAUAAUCAUCUCAUAAAAAAUAGAAGCAAUUAUUGAAGGUAUUUUCUACUGAAAAUACAUUCAAUAAUUUCCCUAAAAAUUGUAAAAAAUUAUUAAAGGUAUUUUUUGACAAAAAACGCCUUUAAGAAUCUUUUUUCAUUUUUUAUAAGGGGAGUUUCAUUUUUUAUAAGAGGAUUAUUAAAGGUGUUUUGUACAAAAAACGCCUUUAAUAAUCCUCUCUAAUUUUUUAUAAGGGAUUAUUGAAGGCGUUUAGGCAAAAAACACCUUGAAUAAUCUGCUCAUAAAAAAUAAAAGUGAUUAUUGAAGGUGUUUCUAUAAAAAAAAGCCUUCAAUAAUUUUCUUAAAAAAUUAUAGAAGAUUAUUAAAGGCGUUUUUAGUUAAGAACGCCUUCAAUAAAUCUCUUUGUUGAUAAAUUUAUUAAAAAUGGAAUAGCAUUGUUGGUUGAGUAUAAAGUCAUUAACUAUAAGUUUGUAGGUUCGAUUCUUUUCUAUAGUAUUUUAUGGAUUUUUUAAGGGAUUAUUGAAGGCGUUUCUGGCUAGAAACGCCUUUAAUAAUCUUUCAAAAAACUUAAAAAAUGCUGAAGAGACGAAUUGAACUUACAACCUUAUGACUAACAACCAUAUGUUCUAAUUGAUAAUGCUACUCCAUUUUUGACAGAUUAAUUGACAAAAAGAUUUAUUGAAGGCGUUUUUGGUCAAAAACACCUUCAAUAAUCGUUUCUAUUUUUUAUGAGCAGAUUAUUCAAGGCGUUUUUUGCUUGAACGCCUUCAAUAAUCUCUUAUAAAAAAUUGCAAGAGAUUAUUGAAGGCGUUUUAUGCAUAAAACACCUUCAAUAAUCCCCUCAUAACAAAUUAAGGCGUUUUUGCAUAAGUGGUGUUUUAUGCAUAAAACACCUUCAAUAAUCCCCUUAUUGAAGGCGUUUUUUAGUCAAAAAAUGAUAGGCCUAAAAUUUUUUUCCAAAAUUUAAACCCUUUCUUUCUUCUUUGUAAUUUCCUUUCUUUCCCCAGCUUUUUUCUUGAAAAAAAAUGGUGAAAAAGAAAAUUCAAAUCAAGAAGAUUGACAACGUAGUAACGGGGCAAGUGACUUUCUGAAAGAGGAGAUAAGGACUUUUCAAGAAAGUUCAUAAGCUUUCCACUCUUUGCGAUGCUGAGAUAGCUCUUCUAAUCUUUUCACCACUGGAAAAGUGCUUUGAGUACUCCAACACAAGGUUGCUCUCACUUAUCUCAUAUCUACAUGUGAAUGCUUUGCCUUGAUUCCUGCUCUAUCUCUGCUGGUUUAAUAUAGAAAUCUUUGCAUGCUGUUUGAUUUAAUGCGUUGAAUGUAUUUGGGUGAGUGUGAGAGGAAGUGAGAAACGUAAUUAUUUUGAAAGAAAAUCUUUUAAAUCAAGAGAACUGUAUAAAAGUAUAAAUUCAUGAUAACUGAAUGUACUUGAAUAUUGUAUUCUAUUACAAAAAGAACUUCUUUUAAUAAUUUAUCAGAAGUUGAGGGGUUUUGGGGUGGGAUGCCAUGGUUUCACAUGAAUAUCUUUAUGAUAUUUGUUGAUGCUUAUUCGUACUUUCCUGAACCUUGUUUAAGCCAUAUUUUAUGACUAAUCAGCUGUCUUAUAAGAAGUUUAUUCUUUCCAUAUAUCUUUCCUGGUGCAACUUAGAGCACAAACUGAUAUUUUACCUUUCAUUUUGCUUAUUAGAACUUGAUCUGCUGUCAUUUUCAUUUUCUCUCCAAUCAAAUAGCUUUUAAUUUCAGUUUUCUUAAUUAAAUCUUGUUAGUACACGCUUUUUGAAUGUUCUUUAAGAUUUUCAUAAUGAAAUUUACAAAUUCUCAUGAUUUCCUUUUCAAAUUCUGUAAAUUUCACGUUGAACUCAAAUAUGGUUUCAAAAUCGCACACUUGACCUAUCUUCAGUCUUUUGAUCAAAAUUUAGUGAAUUCUACCUUGAUUUAUUUAAAAUUUUUUUCCUAGAUUCCUAGUUCAUGAGGCUAUAAUCCAUUAAAAAUUCAGCCUUAAAUUCCAUCUGUACAUGUACAGUUAAAUCUUCAAAUUUAAGGCUGAAUCCAAAAGGCAGAAAUGAUCCAUGCAUGAGAACUUGAUGAAUGAUGAUCCUCUCUCCUUCUAGUUAUUCAAUUUGAUUCUCUCAUACCUUACAUUCUUAAUUUUACAUGUUUACUCAUUAUUUUUUAAUUGAUUGCAUUUAUUUUCAUGCAUUCAUUUGGUGUUUGGAUGGAUUUAGUUGUUAAUGCUCUAUUUUUCUUUGUUUUAAGUAUCACUUCAGUUACUAGUUCAUUAAGCUGGUUUUUCUCUAUUUUGCUGCCAUUUUCUUGUUGAAUUUUAUAGCAAACUUGAUUGAUGAAUUGUAGUAGUUGAAAGGUGCAUACUGUAGACCUAUUAACUUGGAUUGGUCCUUUAUACUUUUUCCAAUUACUUUCUAAUUAUUCCAUGAUACAGUUUUUGCUGCUGCUAAGUCUAAAAAAGCAUUGAUCUCUAUAGACACAGUUGUACCAUCAGUUCAAGGUACAACAUAGUUAAUUUAUCCAUUACACAAUUUGUAUUUCCCUCUUAAAACUCUGUUACGUGGUCAUUUUAUUUUGAAACAUUGGUUUAUUUCCCUCUUGAAGCAUUUGAAUCCAUUUAUUUCUAUGAAUUUAUUUACGAGCUGAAAAUAUGAUUUGAAAUAGUUUAUCUAAUAAACUUCAUGGAAUAAAAUAAUCUUUAUCUUUUUCCACUGCAAUCAAACAUGAACUUGAUUGAAAAUCUAUCUCUUAGCCUUUCAUAUAUUCUCCUUCCCUCAAAUUAUAUGGCACUGCAUUUCAAGUCUAGCAAUUUCAUAAUGAUAUAUGCAAAGUGGAAGAACUAUGAUUAUGAAAGGCAUUUUCAUUCAAUGCACUCAGAGAAUGAGUGUACAUCCUUUUGCCUUGUGUAUUUAUCUUAAUCAUUGGCCAAAAAAUAUAUCUUAGUUUGUUGCUUUGGUUAAAUCUGUUUCUUUGUUAUUUCUGCAUGUAUGUAGCAAUGAAAUCUUGUAUAUCUUUCUUGAUUUUAUCUUGCAUUACAAAUUUUAUGGUACUUUUUAUAGCUUACCCAAUGACAUUUUUCAAUCAGGAUGGAACAUGAAGUUCUGGCGAAGAUAAAUGAAAUGUACUAUGAUGCCUUUCUAUCACCACAUUUUGAGGUUCCUGAAAAAAUGUUCUCUUUAGCAAUGAAAGCCAAAAGGAGGAAUGGGUGUUGUAGGCUCCAUUCAAAGCAAGUGCGACUCUUUCCAUGGAGUCCGUUAUGGGCAAGAGGAAAACAAAUGCAAAGUGGAAUGUUAUUGUAUGUAUUAAAUUUUGUGUUACAUGUAUAUUGGAACAAAUUAUAUAUUUAGAUAUUUAAUAUUUAUAAUAUUCAGUUUAUGAAUUUAAAUUCAUUUUAAUUUCUUUUAACAAUUUUUAUUUAAUUAUAAUAAAUAUUAAAAGAAAAUUAAAAAAAUAAAAUUUUUUAUUUAGCGGUAUUUGUAUUUAAAAAUGCCAUUAAAUACUGAAUUUAGUGACGUUUGUAUUAGAAAACACCAUUAAAUUUAGUGGCGUUUUUACUACAAAUGUCACUAUUUUUAAUAUUUAGCGGUAUUUUAAAACACAAACGCCGUUAAAUUAGCAGCAUUUUUUUAUACAAACUCCACCAAUUUAACGGUAUUUUUAUGAUAAAAACGUCACUAAAUUAACGGCGUCUCAAAGAUACAAAUGCCACUAAUAUAGCGAUAUUUUUUCAGAUCAAGCGUUGUUAAUAUAACAACGUUUUCCAGAUACAAACGCCACUAAUAUGCAUUAUAUGAGCUCUACACCCAGGUUUCAUCUCUCUUACGAGGGUAUAAAGUACCUACAUUCUCAUGAAAUGAUAUUCUCUACAAUGGCUAGUAAAAUACUCUUUCUCAAAUUGAAUCUUUUCCAUUGGUAGCCUUUGUUGGACAAGGAUUUGGGGGCUUUACUAGUUUGUGAUAGACAUUGAUAUAAGGAACAAUUUGGAAACCUAUAGAGUCAAUCCCAAACCACAUGUAGUGAACUGUAAUGGACUUAACCAUAGGUAGAUUCAGGUCCUUAUGUAGAAAUGAUCCAAAAUUAGGUCAUAUACUUUUGUUACAUGUGAUUUGUGCACUAAGAUGUUUAUCUUUUUCUUUUUUCAUAUUGAAUGCUAACUCUAUUUUUAUUUGUUACUUUCUGUUUGCAAGAGUCAUAUUUAGGUUCAUAGUUAUUUUAUUUAUUUAUUUGUUUAUUUGUUUGAUUAUCUAUUUUCAUUCAUUUUGAUACAUCUCAUUCAUUCAUAAAGCAUCAUCAUUCAUGUAAUGCAUCUAUCAUAAUAUUGCAUAAUACAUAAAUCUUUUGUUUUAUCAGGGGUAGCAAUUUAAAAGAAAUGGGUGAUUAAUUAAAAGCGCGAAUCUAGGUGUUAGAACUCAUCCAAGAAAAAUUGAGGCAUAAUCUAUAAAAAGUGAAAAUAAACUUACCAAGCUAGUGGAAAGGGUUUAAAAUCUUGAAACGGUCCAUUCUCACAUGUCCUUAUCAAUUCAUGUGUACAUUAAGCAACCAAUUUUCCAAGAUCAAAAAGUCUCUUACAAUACUGAUGCUAGUCCAAGUCAUGUUAGUGCAUCUGAUGACCUAAUAAAAGAUUAAGUAAGAAAAGAGAUAAGGCUUUCUAACUUUGUGCCAACCCCACAGAUUGGCUCAUACCCAAAUCUUUAUCCUUAACCUCAACAACCCUUUUUGGUACCUUAAACAAAACGUGCUUCCAUUCAACCUCCACAGAUUGACCCAAACCUAUACUAUAGCCCAAUUAUGAAUAAUGUUUAUUAGCCUAUCUAGUAAUCAAAAUUUUCAAUGAAACCUUAGCCCUAUAUACCCAUUUCAACUCUAAGACCCACACCCAUAAGUCCACUAAUGGCUCAACCUAAGAAAUCAUUGAGUAAGAAGAAAAUGAAAGCCAUCAUUAAUCGAAUUCCUAUGAACUACAGUGACCUAUUCGCAUUACUUCUCUAAAACCAUUUGAUCAUACUAGUUCCUUUAAAGCCAUUAAAACUUUCUUAUCCUAAGUGAUAUGAUGCUGAGGCUCAGUGUGAUUAUCACUUUAAAAAUACUGGCCAUCGAUAGAAAAUUGCCUUGCCUUCAAACAUAAGGUGCAAUAUUUGAUUAAAAUUAACUUGUUGAGUUUUAAGAAAAAUGAAAAGCCUGAGAUUGUUGAGAGGUCAUUGCCUAAUCAAAAUAAUUGAAGAACUUAUUCAUGGUAGUACCAUGAUAUUGAAGUUGUAUAUAGGACCAGGUAAUAGAGUUUAGGAAUUCUUUUAGGAAUGUUUGGAUGUUUUGUUAGAAUAAUUUUUUGAUUUUUAAUUAAAGAUUUCUUUUUAUCUCUUUCGUAUUAUGUGAUAGCACUAAAUGCAUCCAUUCAUUCAUAUAAAUAUUUUCUAUUUGCACAAAUUUAUAGUUAGAUAUCAUCCUAAUUCAAUAAUUGUGGUAGUAAAGUUCAAAAGUCUUAUUGUCAAGGUAAUCUAUUUGCCACCUAUAGAGCUAAAAUAAUAUAGCCGAAUUGAAAAAAUGGAGAAAGCUUAAGAUGUAAUAAGAGAAGAUCUGUCGUAGAUAGUGAAAAUUCUAAAAAAUUUGAAAAAAGUGAAAGACGCUUGCAUACAAUUAUCUUAAAAUGCACAAUCAUAGCAAGCACCACCUUUUGGGACAUACUUUUAGCCUGAAAUACCUGGAAUAAUUACACCAAUUUUAGUUCUUGAUGAUCUUGAAAAGCUAGAAAAAUUAAAGGUAAGUUCAUUUGAAACAAUAACAAAUCUAAGUUCUCAAAAGAAGAUGGAUCUCAUACAGGAAAUGCUUCGAGCUAUUAAAAAAAUAUAUUUUUAUGGAUCUAUGGACGCAUUGAAACUUUGCUUGGUAUUAGAUGCUAUUAUUCUGUCCAAGUUUAGGGUCCUAAAAUUUGAAAAAUAUGAUGGGAUUAAAUGCCCAGCGACGCAUGUCACUAUGUAUUGUAGAAAAAUGGUUGCCCAUACUCGUGAUGAUAAGCUCUUGAUUUAUAUAUUCCAUAAUAGUAUUAAAAAGUCUACUAUUAAGUGGUAUGAUCAGUUGAAUAGAAUUCAUAUCACUUUAUAGAAAUAAUCGUCAUGGCAUUUUUAACCCAAUACAAGCACAUUAUGGAGUUGGUUCCAGAUCAGUUGUCUCUAUAAAGCAUAGAGAAGAAAAAUGUUGAAAGCUUCAGAGAAUAUGCUCAAAGGUGGAAGGAUGUUGCUGCUCAAAUUCAACCACCAUUAACGAAAAAAAAACUACAGUUUUGUUUGUCAACACUCUUAAAGAUCCAUAUUAUGAUAGGAUGAUAAAAAAUGCAACUAAGAAUUUUGCUGACAUGGUUAUAUCUAGGGAAAUAAUAGAGAAUGCCCCUAAAAAAGUGAAAAACUUAAGGAGAAUGAUACAAGUAGUAUAAAUGAAGUUGGUAUACCAAGAACGAAAAGAAAAGAUAUUCAAGUUGUGAUUUAUGAAGGAAAAUAGGUUGAAAACUUUACCCUAUACCAUCCUUACCAACCUCGCUACCCUGCCAUAAUAACCUUGCUUAAAAUCCUAUUUACCAGCCUUAUCCCUAAUCUACUGCCCAACCAUUGUAAAGUAAAAAAAGGUUAAGAAACAUUCUCGAGAAAAUCUCAAUUCUAAUUUUUUAUUUUUAGUCUCUGUUGGUAAAUUAUUAAUACCUCACCUCAAUACCUUUGAAAGUAAUUUCGAAUUCAUCAGUGAAGAGUUAUGAUCAAAACAGUAAAAGUGAUUAUCAUAAAAAGGUAAUUGGGCAUUCGAUUGAGAAGUGUAGGUAGUUGAAAAAGAAGAUUGGAAGUCUCAUUCAUAAUGGCACCUUGACCCAAGAGCUUUUUGAGCAAAGGAAAUAUGCUUUAUCAUAGGUUGAUUUUUCUCUAUUUUGGAUGUCUUGAACAUGGAUUGCGAGAAAAUUUUAGAAGUUUGUAAUAAGUUUUUCUUUUUUUUUCAAUUUUAAUUGUUUGGAUUCCUGCAUAAUUAAUUUUUUCAAAGCAUGUGAAAAAAUUUCAAAAAAUUGGUGACUGUUGUUAAAAAUGAGCAUCAUAAGCCAUUUCCUUAAACAUUUCAUUCUUUUCAACUGGAAAACUAAGAAAGUUAAGAAUAUUUAGGGAUGAAAGCUUCGGAACAUCACCUUAUUAACCAUGAUGAAUCUUAAAAAUUAUUGAUCUUUAUUUAAGCUAUAAGCAAUGAGAUGGUUGAUUAAUUUGUAAAUCUUUUAGGGCACCCUUCUAAAGUUUUUUGGAUUUUUGUGAUUUAAUAAAUGUCAAGGUUAUUUUAAAUGCUUCACCAUCAAAAUUCUCCCGUAAAUCCCAAACUUUUAUAUUUUCUCAUGUUGUUUAGUGCAACAUUUUUUUCCUUGACCAAGUAAUCUUUCGACCUUAUCUUAAGACAAACUUAUUAAAAAAGUCAACUUUACUUGAUGUCUUAAAUAACCCUUUUUGACAAUUUUGACCGAUGAACAUCCUAAUGGAUUGCGAAAAGGAAAAUUGUUAUGUUUCGUUUCACUUGAGUAAAAAGUUAAAAAAAUGUAUUAUGAGUAUGAGUUGCAGAAAAAAAUAUAAAGGAAGAAAAAGAAAAGAUAUGAUUGUGACAUUAUGCAUCUAAAAUCAAUGAGAAAAAAGUCAUCUCCUGAUAAUUACUUUUCAAUUGAAGUAUGCAUACUUGAAAUGAAAUAGGGCCAUUUUUCAAAUUUUCUUCACAAAAAAAAAAAUCCUUUUGUAACCUGUUUCUGUUGAUUUUUCUUUUUGAACCCUAAACUAAGAAUCAUCCUCUAAAUUUGAGGGCAUGUUCAAAAAUGAGGAUCUCAUCAAGGGGGCAUUUGAACAUAAUUUGAACUUUAUGUUGAAAGGCUAAGAAAUAAGGCUUUAUGUUAAGGAGGGAAGUUUGAAAUAAACAGAGUUCCAAGUUUUUUAGCUCAUGCAAAAAAAAAAAAAAAUAGGGAAAAUGAUGAAACGACAUUCUUGGUUCAAAUACCCUUGAACAUGUAUAUUGGGCUUAUUUAUCCUUUCUUUUAAAACCUCAAACCCCCUCCUGUGUUACAUACUUUAAAAAGUCAAUUUUAAUUAUGUAUAGAUACCUAAGUUGAAAGGCUUGUUCUUUAGGAAAAUCAUCAAUUUGGUUUUAAAUGAAUUUUGAGUGCUCAAAUGAAUAGUGGAAUAAUCAUAAAAAAUAAAAAAAAGAAUAAAGCUCUAGGGUGAAAACCCAAAAGGGUAGUCUAGAUUAAGAGUGAAAUUUGAAAACAAUUCAUAAAACUUAUUAAUGUAAAAUGCAUUAGGUAAAGCCAUUUUUGAAUGAACCUUGAUGCAUUGAAGAUUUUAAUCAACCCUAUUUUGAUGAAUUGUUCUUAAAUCUGAACCUUUUCUUUAUUUCCCAAAGCUUAGAGCCUUGCAUGACUAGUCUUGGCAUUUAUUAAAUUCCCAUAUAUCAAGAACUUAAAAGAGUGCCAAAAUAGAUUAUACUUUAAAAUAUCAUUUUCAUUUGUGAAUCUAAAUGAAGAGACAUUGAUAUUCCUUUUCUUGUUCAGUGGUUAACCCUUUGAUAACUAAAGUCAUGGUGUGCCAAACCAUUACCUCUCUUUUGGAAAACCAAGUUAUGAUUCAUCAUAUUUAUUCUAAACAGUACUCACCAAUUUUUAAAAGAUAUGGUCACUUGUGAAAUAUUGUAUUAGAGUGGGGCAAUGUCCAUUACUAUUAGUGAAAAUUUUAGGAAAUAUUCAAAAAGUUCUUUUGAAUCUCAAUGCUGAUUGUGGGAAAUAGAUAAAUACUAUGAUGAAAAAGAUGUUUACAAGGCAAGUAGAAAUGCCAAUUGAAGGGACAUAUAGUGAAAAAGACUUAUAGAUAGGAAAAAUGAUUUUUAAAAAUGACGAUGCUUGAGCCAAGAAAAUGUGAGAAUGUUUGCUUUGAAAGAACUUGUCACUUUAUUUUGAAGGUAUAUGGUGGAAAGUUGGAAGGAAUGUUUCAAGAAUUAUGGUAUCACAAUUAAGGACAUAUGGUAUUGAUUUCAUGAAUUGCAUUCAUUGCAUACCUUUUAAUACAUUAUAUGUAUCACAUUAUUUAUUCUAUUGCACUUAUUGCAUACUUUCAGCCAAUGGGAAAGAUAGAAGCUCAAGUUUGAAACUUUGGUUGAGAAAAGAAAACUUUGCAAGAUAAGAUUUUUUUUAUUAGGUCAAAAACCUUUGAUGAUGAUUUUUUUUAUUAGGUUAAAAACCUUUGAUGAUGGCAUCAAAUGAAGUUUUAUUUCAGAGUAUUUUGUUAAAACUUCCAAGUAUCAAUUUUGAAAAUUUUUGGGUAGUACUUCUUAAAACCUCUGGAUACAUCUUAUAAGCUUUAGAAUACUCUUCUCGAAGUUCUCUGGGCACGAUUUAUAAGACUUCUAGGCAUAAUUUUCAAAUCCUUCAGGUAUGAUUUGCAAGACUUCCGAGUAUGAUCUUUUUAAAGCCUUUAGGUAUCUUUUUAAAAUUUUAAGUUAUAAAGCUUUUGUGUGAAAUGAGCUUUUCAAAUUUUGAUUUAUAAGAUCUCUGGACUUAAUAUUCAAGUUCUUUGGACAAGAUUCAUAAGUUUUUCUAGCUAAAUCUGUUUUAAAGUCGAGAUUUGUAAGAUCUUUGGGUGUAAUCUUCAAGUCUUCCAAGCAAUAUUUGUAAAUCUUUUGAGUUGAAUUUGUUUUAGAAUUAAAAUUUGUAAGACUCCCGGGCAUAAUCUUCUAAUUCUUCUAACAUAAUCAAUAAGACCUCUAGAUGUGAUCGUCAAAACCUUUAGGUGUUGUCCUUUAUUUUUAAAAUUGUUAUACAUUUAUUAUGAAAAAGCUUUUAUUUUUAUAAGUUGUUAUGCUUUUAUUAUAGAGGAGCCUUUAUUUUUAAAAGUUGUGCACUUUUAUUUUCAAAGAGUUUGUCAUAAAAAUAAAAAAAACAAAAAAACAAAAAAAAGGGUGAAUAAUUUAGACAUGGAUGUAAUAGAUUAUUUAUAUCUUUAUAUAAUUAUUGUUACAUAAAAAAUGUACAAAGAGGGGUAAUUAUGACAUUCAAUUUAGUCCGAGCUUAAAUUAAUUAGGCUUAAUUUAAUUUUAGACCCAAAAGCCCAAAUUAGUUGGACUCAGACCCAUUUCAUGACCAAUUGCUGAAUUUCUUUUAUUUUUAAUUUUUAAUUUUACUUUUAUUGUAUUUAUUUAGGUACAUAUUUAUCUUAUUUAUUUUUAUUUGUGUUAAAUUUUUAUUUUUAUUGUGGUUUAUCUUUAAUUUCAUUUUUUUUGAAUAUUUAUCUUUUUAUAUUAUUAGUUUUUAUUUUAUAAUGUUUAUUUAUUAUCUUUCACUUAUUUAUUUAUUUAUUGAUAUGGUUAUUUAAGAAAAGGGAUAAUGAAAAAAUGUUGGAUGGGCGGAUGUUGAUAAUAUGGAGAUAAGUUUGUUAUUAUCAUUAUUUAAACUUGUGAAGAUAAAUUUUAUUUUUAAAAGAUAAUUCUAGUUUUUUGACUUGGAGUUCAUCUGAAAUUCUUAUUGAGUCCUAUAAAUAGGACUUGUGGGAGGAGUGCAAUAACACAACAAUCAACAGCAAAUUAGAGAAACACAAAAUGAGACAAUCGAGCAACACAGAAAUCAGGGAGAGAAACACAAAGGAAAUAAAAAAAAAAAAACACGCAUUCUGUUUGGCUUAGCUCCUAGUUGCCGAUUACCACUUUUUCCACCUAAACCAAUUUUCCUCAACCUCUUGCAAUCACCACCACACAUAACCCACAAUCCAAAUUGCCAUAAUCCACACACGAUGACAGAUUUGGGUCGUGUAAUCUUUGGGAUCUAGGGUUCAUUGAAUUAAUGUUAGAUAAUUGAAGAGAAAAUAGCUCUCGGUUGAUUAAAGACAGCGUUGAAAAAAGUGGGUAUUUUGGUUUUUUUGGAUUUUUGAGUAUUGGAGAUUCGAACUGGUGAGGAGGGAUCGAGUUUCGACCUUUGAGGCACCAGGAUACUGGAACCAUUGCUUGGAAGAGUUUUUGAUUUCUUUCAUAUCGUAAGAGCUUUAGUUUAGGAAAAGAAGAAGAAAAAAAUUUAUUAUUAAGGAAUUCAAGCUCUACAACAGUGUUGCUGGUCAGAAAUGGCGAGGUAGUAUGGUUGGUGGCAACGUCUCGUGUGUCAAACAAACAGAGGAAGAAAGUAAAAGAGAUAAUGGAAGCUAUUGAGGUUGUCAAUAGCUGUAGUUUAGUGGUCAAUUGUUCUGGUCUUGUAAAGAAAGGUAAAGGCAGGUGCCGUUUGAAGAAAGAACAGAAAGGGAAGGAAAAUUUCUUCAAUUUAUAACCCAAAAGGCAACCUUCUAGUUUGAAGUGAAUUUCGGCUUUAGGUUUGACAACUUUUAAUCCAAGCCUAGCACCUAGCCUAAGCCUAAAUGGUGAAAAAAAAUAGAUAUAUUUACAAUAAAAUAAAACUUAAUAAUAAAAAUCAAUGAUUAGGCAUUUUACUCAACGACAUAAUUUUUUUAAAAAAUGAAUGAUAUUCUUAAAUACUUUUGAAGUAAAAAAAUAAUUUUAAGAAUUUUAUUAGAUUAAUGAAAAAUCUUAAAAGUUAUUUUCAAUAUUUAAUAGUAAAAUUUAAUAAAAGACCAUUAGGACUAUAGAUUUUUAGGAUAAUUUAAAAUUAAAUGGUACCAUUUUUUAAUUGUAAGGAUACUAUAACAUUCACCAUACGUAAUUAAAUGCUUGAGCCUUAUUGUAAAACAUAAACCAAAAUUUAUUUUUUUAGGAAUCCUUAGUUAAGCAUAGGAUAUCUUUAAAAAGAUAGAUAGAUUCACCUAGGUAACUAAUCGCACUUAAAUAAAACAGAUUGAUGGUGACUUUUUAGGUUGUGUCUAGUGAUAAAUUCAUGGAUAUAUACAUUAUAAGAACAAAAAUCUUUAAUUUCUAAGAAUUAAUCAUUGUUAACCAAACAAAGUGAUUUCAAAUUAUAAGUGCUAAGAUCACUUUAAUAAUUACAUUACCAUGGUGAUCUUACAAAAGAUAUAAAAUGCUACUUAUGUGUAAGCAUUUUGAUGGUAUGUGAUGCCCGUAUGGAUUAAAAACUUGCCUGGAUUAUAACCAAUAUUUCACAUGGCUGAUGGAUACAUUCAUGCAAUAAAAUAUCUGCUUGAGAUCCAAUUUAUUGCAAGCUAUAACAUACCACCUGACACCUUGUGUGUAAUUUCAUUUUUUUUUCUAAGUAUGACUAACUCUUCUAUAUAUAAUUAACAAAAAGACCAGUCAGUGCUGUUUGUAAUUCUGCUAUUUCCUUUGUGCAUAUAAUCACAUUGCUUAAAAUUUCAAAAUGUAGGUACCAGAUGGAAUAUUUUCUUUUUUUAGUUUUAAAGAUCAUAUUACUAGUUGAUUAUUAGUGUAGGGGUCCUUUAUAGCUUCAUUUCUUUUAUUAUCACAUGAAAACCUACCAGUAUAGUGGCUAUAAGGUGUCAAUAAAUUACCUAAAUCCUAUCGAGUCACAAUCUUAUGAACUUGCAUUAUCCUCACUUGAAAUGUGUAGAUACUUCAUUUUAUCCAAAAAUUUUUUCGAGAUCAAAAAUGAGUUUUUGACCAUUAAUUGGGCCCAAUUAUGAAAAUUUGAAACUAAUAAUUUUUUUUUAAUUUUAUGUUUGAAUUUUUUUUGGUUUAAUGUUAGUUUCUGUUAUUUUUUUUUUAAAGUAAAAAAAGUCAAAAGUCUUAUUUAAAAAAAAGGAAAUAAAAAAAAUGAAAAAAACAAAAAUUUUGUUAAAAAGGAAAGCCACGGAAUUUGAUUUUGGGAAUCAUGCAAAAUCAAGUCCCAAAAUUAAUUCAUAGAAAAAUCAAACCAAAUUGAAUCACAUUCAAUUCAAAUUGGGUUGAUUUAUUUUUAAGAUUUAAAGUGAUUAAAUCCCUAUAAAGAAUGAUACGUAGAAACCAUUUAAAGGGAAAUUGAGUUUUGCCUUUGGUAGUUUUUGGAAUUGCGAAUUUCCAGAUUUUUAUUUUCAAGGUUUUUUGGGAUCAGUUUCGAUUUCUUUUUUUUUUUUUUGGGAGUCAAAAAGCUUUUUAGGAAGUUUUGGGUUUUUUGGACUUUUUUUUUUUUAAGUUGCUUUGGGUUUUGAUUUGGUUUUAAACUUGGCUUUUUAAUUGAUUCAGGCUUGUGAUUUGAAUUUAUGAGGAAAUUCUGAUUUUUUUAGGUUUAGAUUGGAUAUUUGGGUUCUUUUGGAGAUUUUUCUAGGUUUUUUGAAAAAAAAAAAAGCUUUUCUGGGUUGGGUACGAAGAUUCCAUUGAAUUUUUUGAGUUUCCAAUAAAGCUCACAAUGGCUGAAGGAUUUUUACGGUGGCCACUUUUUGGGUUUAUCUGAUUUUUUGGAAAGGUUUGAACAUUCUAGCUGCCAGUUGAAUUUCUUGAAGUCGAAAUUUAGGAAUUUGGGUUGUUGGAUGAAUUUUUCAUUUGAAUGUUAGAGAGAGGUCAAAGGAAAAUUUUGUAGAAAGAGAAAGAACCAAGGCCAUACGAGAAAAAUUAAAAAUUUUUUAUUUUUAUAGCAGUACCAAAAAGGCACCACUUUGGAGAAGACCCUCUGACCUGCCUGAACCCGUAGAGAUCCACGCGUAACUCGAUUUUGAUCCGACCUAUAGCGUAGGUUUUCCCUUUUUUUUGUUGAUUUUUUUUGCUUUGAUUUUCUUAAUUUAUUUUUCUAUUUUGUUUUUUUUAUAUAUUAUUUUUAUUUUUAUAUUUUAAUAUUUAUUAUGAUUUUUUGAAUUAAUGUGGUGAGAAAAGAAAAAAGAAAAAAUAGUUUUAUUUUUGCAUGAUGCUUUUUUUUAUAUAUAAUUUCAUGUUUUCAUAUUUAUUAUGUGAUCUAUUAAAUACAUUUUGUAUAACUGUAUGAUUAUAUUUAAUUGCAUGAUAAUUAAUAUUAUUGCAUGAUAUAUUAUAUUAUUAUUGCAUGAUAUUAUUUACAUUAUAAUUUUUCUUUAUUUUAAUUGAUUUUUAAAUUAAAAAAAAGUUUUUCAAAAACAUUUUUUUUCAAUCCUACCAAACUAUUAAAAGAUUUAAAUAUUAAAUUAAGUCGUACCAAACUUUGGAGGAUUUAAUGAAUUUAAAAAUAUAUAUUUAAAAUCUUACCAACAUAUUGAAGGAUAAUUUUUGAUGGAAAUCUUACCAACAUAUUAAAAGAUAUUUUUGAGAAUAAAUUAUUUUCACAAAUAAAAAUUUUUUUAUAACAAAAAAAUUAAAUGAAUCCAACAACGGAGCCUCUUCAAAAUAAGUCAUUAGUCUUCAUAAAUACUUUUGAGGUAAGAAAAUUAUCUUAAAUUACUACCAAACUAUUAGAGUAAUUUUAAGAUCAAUUUUCAAUAAUUAAAUUAUUUGAUAAAAUUACAAAGAGACUUUAUGGUUUGGAUAAUUUGAAAUCAAACUAGUACCAUACUUUAGAUGGGUGUUGUGAAGGUCUUAUAAUCUUUCUCAUAAAUAACCGUACUCUUAAACUUAAAAUCUAGUUUUGUAGACUAGAAUCUAUCUUUUAAAGAUAUAUAAAUCCAGUUUGAGACUCCUUUUUAAAAUAAGACAGAUUCAGUUAGUUGGCUAAUCACACCUAAAUAUAAAAGAUUGGUGGAAACUCCUAAAGUCUAUGUCUAACGAUAGAUCCAUAGAUCUAUAUAUUAUAAUAGUUUGGUGACUCCGCUGGAGGCAUCGAAAAUCAAGCCAAUAAAUGAUUUCUUAUUAUCGAAGCCUAACCUAAUAAAUUUAAAAUUUUUUUCUUGUUUGUAUUUUAUUUAUUUUUUUAUUUUAUAUAUCUGUUAUUCAUUUGCACAUGUAUAACAUGAGCUUUACAUCUGAGUUCUGUUCCUUAUGAGGGAGUAAAGUACUUACACCUUAGUGAGAUUUCAUGUCUCCGUAUGGACUGGCAAAAACUUUCACUCAAAAUGAACCCUUUUCGCUUGUAACUUAUAAUGGGUGAGGAUUGGGAUGCCUUAUUAGUCUAUAAUGGAUAAUGAUAUAAGGAACAAUUUAGUAACCCUUAGAUUAUCAAACCUUUGAACCAGCAUAAAAUAAACCCUAAAUAUCUAAACCUAAGUUAGAGCUAUGUAUUUCCUUGUGUUAGAAAAUCCUAAUUAGGACACAUGCAGGGACAUUUAUUAUACUUGUAAAUUUAUAUAUUAUUUGUAUAUACUAACCUUUUACAUUGUUUUUUUGUAUAUAUUAUUUUUUUUUGUAUAUAUCAUGUUUACUAACCCUUUUCUUUUAUUGUAUAUGUAUGCAUUCACAUCAUAAAAUCUUUUUUAUUGCAUUCAUGCAUUUCUACAUUCAAUCUCAUGCAUAAUUGGAUGGUUCCAUAAACAUCACUUUAAAUUUGGACCAUAAUUGUGAAAAAUCAAGAUUCAAAGAUAGCUCAACACUAGUAUAACAUCCAGACCCAAGCUAGAAGAAUGAAAUAAGAUAAUCAAGCCAUGUUGAGAAAUUAGAAAAAGCCUAAGAGGAGAUUAAGAAAGAGUUGAGCAAAAUCUUUAAGGCAAUAGGCAAGUUGAAUAAAGGCAAGGUCGUAGAAGAAGAUGUUUGACAUGAUGUUACUAAUUCUUUAUAUCCUCCAAGUUAUGGCUUGUAUCAAGCCCAAUCCACUCCAAGCUUUCUAUCAUGAUAGUUAGUAUUUUCGAUAGGCUAUACUUAUUUAAGAAUGCCAUUUACACGCAACCAUGGGAAUGUUUAAACCUACAACAACCUUAUCUUUGCUAAAAAAGUAGUUAAAUUGGUUCGAGUUCCUAGUAUAGACGUCUUAAAAGAUAAAUUGAAAAUGGUUGAGGCUUUGGAAGACACAAAACAUAAAUAGAAGAUGAACCUGUUGAACGAGAGAUUACAAGUCGUUAAGGGCAUAGACUUUUAUGGCUUAUAGAUGUUGCUAGGAUUUACUUGGUUCUGGAUGUUGUGAUUCUUUCAAAAUUUAAAAUGCCUGAGUUUAAAAAAUAUGAUGGUACAAAAUGUUUUAUCACACAUACUGCCAUGUAUUAUCAAAAUAUGAUUGCUUACACCUAUGAUGAAAAGCUAUUGAUGCAUACAUUCCAAGACAACUUUACUGGCUCAGUUACAAUGUGGUAUGUUCAACUAGAUCGAACUUGCAUAUGCCUUUAGAAUGAGCUCACUUGGACAUUUAUUAAUAAGUAUUAUCAUAUCAUAAAUAUGGCUUAUGAUCAUAUUUCUUUACAGAGUAUGGAGAAAAAGGUAACUGAAUUAUCUAAGAAUGUACCUAGAGAUGGAGGGACAUAGUUGCUUUGGUUCAGUUACUCUUAACUGGAAAAAAAUGAUAGCAUUGUUCAUUAGCAUUUUGAAAGCACCUUAUUAUGAAAAGAUAAUAAAAAAAAUGCAACAGAGAAUAUUACUGAUAUGGUGAUCUAAGGGAAAAUUAUUGAAAAUGCCAUCAAGAGUGAUAAGCUUGAGGAAUGAGAUGCUAGUAAUUCCAAGAAAGGGGGAUGCCUAAUAAAAAAGAAAUCGAAGCCUAAGUUGUGAGUUUUGAGAGGCAACAAUUUAGAGGUUAUGCUCUAUAUUCACCACAUGUUCAUCCUGCUUAUUACUCGAUAAUCAAUAAUAUUACACAAGUCUCUUACUAGCAUCAUUACUCAAACAUGACUAAUAUCUACCUAAGCCUUUUAUCAAUAAGCCUUUUAAGCACAUGUAUAUGGGCCUAAUCCUGUCACUAUACCAGUUUCAAGGCGUAACAAUCAAGCAAGUGAUUUUGGGAAGAUUCAAGGGCAACCAAGAAAGGGCUCGCAUUAAUCCUAUCCCCAUAAACUAUAUUGAGUUAUUCCCAAAAUUGGUCAAGAAUGACCUGGUAUCCCCAGUUUUUUUUUAGCCAUUGAAGCCAUCCUAUCCUAAAUGGUAUAAUAUUAAUGUCAUAUGUGAUUAUCAUAAUUGAAAUAUGAGUCACUUUAUAGAAAACUGCCCUGCUGUCAAGCAUAAGGUGCUAAGUUUGAUCCAAGCAAGCUCGAUAGGUUUUAAUGAAUCAGAGGAGCUAAAUGUCUAUAAAAGCCCUUUGCUUGAUCAACUAAGGGCACAAUUUUGGCAAGGAUACAAAAAAGUUGACUGAAACUACUUGUCAUUUUAGAAUUUCUUUAGAAUAAUGGACUUUUUUUAUUCUACUAGAAUUUCAUUUUAUUUUUCAUAAUUUUAAUAAAAGUGGCAUAUAUGAUGCAUAUUCAGGACAUUUUCUUUUUUGUGUGAAUCAUCAUUUUAUGCUUUUAUCUUCUUACAUCUUUUUCUAUAUCCAUUCUUAAAUUUUAAAUAAUAAAUGUUCAGACAGUUAUGACAACAAUUCAAGAUUCUAUUUUGAAAACAUCAUUCAUGUUGAUAAAUUAAGAUUGUUGGUUCAGAUUGCUGAAUAAAAAAAGAUAAAUUUGGCUAAGAAUUUUGCUCAUUGAAAGAUGAAAUUGAUGCGGAACGUGAUUUUUAUUUUUAGUGAAUAAAUGUUCUUCAUUAAGAGUAUUCAUGUUUGAAGUGAGAAAUGACCAUCUUUCUUAUACCCUUUACUUAGUGAGUAAAAUUAUCCUUUGUUAUCCCAUUUGAGUUUAUUGAAAUUUUCUUUCAAGAAACCCUAACUAGGGAUCACAUAUUCACAUUGGGGGCAAAGUUUGAGAAGUUUAGAAAAGUGAAGAUCCUUAAUGAUUUUAGAGGCAAAGCCCUUUUGUGCUCAAAUUUUUCUUGAAAAUGAUAAAAAUAAAAAGAAAACAAAAGCAAAAAAAAGGAAAAAAAAAUUGAUUGGGCAAAGUAUCAAUGUGCUCUACAUGAGAAGAAAUUAUCUUUAGUUUGAUUACCCUUCAAAUAUAGUUUGGGCCUAUUUUAUCCAUUUCUUUCAUAAGCCUUUACCUUAGCCUAUGUUAUGUCAUUUAAAAGUCCAUUUUGAUUAAAUGUAAAUACUCGAGUUAGAGAAUUAUGAGUUGAACUAAGGUUUUAAUUGGAUUGAUUGGGAUUUUAAAGGAACAAAGGAAAAUGAAAUAAAAAGAAAAAAAAUGAAAAGGAGAUGUGAAAAAAAAACCAAAAAAAGAAAAAGAAAGACUUAAAUUAAAAACCUGAAAGGGUGGUUUAAAAAAAAACUUGGAAAAAUAGCUUCAUUUGAGGAUCCUAGUGAUAUAUAUAAUAUUUGGUUCAAAGAUUGAGAAUAUCAAUGGAAUGUGUUUUCAAAAAAGAAUUCUAAAUUAGAGUUCAAAAUUGUUUGAAUAUUAAUUAUUUUGGAUUUUGAUAUCUCAUGUAAACAAUCGCAACAUUGUGCUUUUAUUUAUCUUUGAGUUGUUCUUGACCAUACUUUUUUUCAAUAAUGAGACCCAUUUUUCUUAUUCUUUACCAAAUGUACAUUCCCUAAAUGUAUUAAGAAAAUAUAUUAUACUUGUCAUAAAUUGGAAUGAUGAUAAAUACAUGAAUGACAAUGUUUGUAAAAUAUUUUUUCAUUCAUUUAAAAGAAAUUCAAGAUGAUAGAAGUGAAAGAAGUUAAGAAGAUGAGUUGAAAAGGGCAAAUAAGGUCAAUAUAACUUGUAAGUUAUGAUCAGAUGAAGAAACUGACAUGGAUCAAUUAAUGGAAUUUGUUCUAAAAUUAUUAAUACUGAUAAGCUAAAAAGGAAUAUAUAAGAUGGUAGAGUCUUAAAAACCUUGUUACCACAAUUGAAAUUUCAUGAUAUUGAUUUAGUGACAUCUUCAUUAUAUACAUUAUGUUUACAUUGUUUUUUAAAAUCUUUGAUAAUUGCAUUUGCAUCAUGGUUGGAGCAUGCAUUUGAAUCAUAGUAUGACAUUUGCAUUAUGGUUUAAAACAUGUAUUUGCAUCAUUUGGUAAGAAUCUAGAUUGUUACAUUUGCAAUAUGUAGAAGACAUUUGCAUUGAUAUUUAUUGUAUAAAAAUUUGACUUUGAUUGGAGAAAAUUUUUGACUUUUGAGUCCUUAAAUUAGGAAGAUCUUUCCUAAUGAGAUUUUUUUUAUGAGAAAAACUUUCCAAACGUUUUAAAAUAUAAAGCUUUUGUUUAAAUGAGCUUUUUGAAUAAUAAUAUUUGAAUUUUGGAUGUGAAUCCCAAACUUUUUUCAAUGUGAAUAUUCAAAAUGUUAGAUGUGAAACCUAGAAAUUUUUCGAAUAAGAAUCUUUGAAAUCUUGAUAUGAAUCCCAAAAUUUUUUGAAUGAGAAUCUUUAAAUUUUGGCCAUGAACCUUGAAAUCUUUGAUGUGAAUCCUUGAAAUUUUCAAAUAUAAAGCUUUAAAUUUUAGAUGUGAAUCACUAAAAAAAUUUUGUUUGAAUGCAAAUUUUUGAAUCUUGUAUGUGAAUUAUAAUUUGUGAAUCUUGUGAAUUUAAAGUUCUUAUGAAUAUGAAUUCUUACAAAUCUAAAAUUCUUAUCUAAGUUCUUACGAAUCUUCCAUUAUUGUGAAUCAAAAAAUUCAUGCGAAUCUGAAUUCUAGCAAAUUUUUAAAUUCUUUCGAAUCUAAAAUUCUUACAAAUCUUUAAAUUUUUAUGAAUUUGAAAAGCCUUACGAAUCUCGCAAUUUUUACAAAAUUUUAAAUUCUUGUGAAUUUGAAAUUCUUGUAAAUCUUUAAAUUCUUGUGAAUAUGAAAUUCUUGUGAAUCUUUAAAUUUUUGUGAAUCUAAAAACUUUACAAAUUUUAUAAUUCUUGCAUUUCUUUAAUUUCUUGCAAAUCUAAAAUUUUUGCAAAAUUUGGAAUCUUUGUGAAUCUUGAAACUUCUAUAAAUCUUUUAAUCUUGAAUCAUUUACGAACUUUUAAAAUCUUUGAAAAACUUGAAAUUCUUGUGUAUCUGAAAACUUUUAGAAUCUUGAAUCUUUUCAAAAUUUAAAAUCAUUACGAAUUCUUUGCGAAUCUUAAAGUCUUGGAAUCUUUCAAAUUUUGUUAUAGAACCUUGCGAAUCUUUACAAUAUUGUGAAGCUUUGAAUUUUUAAAUUGUGAAUAUUUGGAUUUCAAGCUAAAACUUUUGAAUAUUUUUGGACCCGAGUAAAAUGGAUGUCUUUUGACAUUUCAUAUUUAAAGUUUUUAAAGUUGUUUAGCCUUUAUAUAGGGAAAUCUAUUGCUUAAUUUAGAAUUGUUAAGCCUUUGUUUAAAGGAGUUAUUUGAAGUUUUUUUUUUUCAAAAGUCGCAUGCUUUUAUUUAGAGGAUUUUUUGCUUAAUUCGAGCCCCAACAUAAUUGGUAUCUAUGUUUUUGCAUAAUUCAUGUUUUGUAAAAAUUGUGCAAAGUGUGACAACUGUAGAUACCUUAUUUUGUUCAAGAAUUUUUUCGAGAUCGAAAACGGGCUUUCACCAUUAAUUGGACUUGAUUGUGAAGCUUUGGGCCCAAUAGAAAAUUUUUCAAUUUUAUGUUUAAUUUGAUUUUUGGUUUUAAUGUUAGUUUCUAUUUUUUUGAAAGUAAAAAAUAAGUCAAAAGUAUCAUUAAAAAAAUAAAAGAAAUAAAAAAAAUGAAAUUUUUGUUAAAGAGGAAAGCCACUAAAUUUGAUUUUAAGAAUCAUGCAAAAUUAAAUCCCACUAUUAAUUCCUAGUAAAAUAAAGCCAAAUCAAAUCCCAUUCGAUACAGAUUGGGUUGAUUAAUUUUCCAAAUUUAAAGGGAUUAAAUCUUUAUAAAGAAUGAUACGCAUAAGCCAUAUAACGAGAAAUUAUGUUUUGACUUUGGUAGUUUCUGGAAUUUUGAAUUCCAAAUUUUUUAUUUUUAAAGCUUUUUAGGAUCAGUUUUGGUUUUUUUUUUUUUCAUUUUUUUGAAGUCAAGAAACUUUCUAGGAAGUUUUGGUUUUUUGGACUACUUUUUUUUAAAGUUGUUCUAGGUUUUGAUUUGGUUUUAGACUAGGCUUUUUAAUUGAUUCAAGCUUGUGAUUUGAAUUUAUGGGGAAAUUUUGAUUUUUUUUGGAUUAGAUUGGAUAUCUAGGUUUGUUUGGAGAUUUUUAUGGGUUUUUUGAAAAUUUUUUUUGUGUUUUUCUAGGUUGGGUAUAAAGAUUUCAUUGAAUUUUUAAAGUUUUUAGUGAGGCUCACGAUGGUCGGAAUGUUUUUAUGGUGGCCGCUUCUGGGUUUAUUUGAUUUUCUAGAAAAGUUUGAACAUUUCGAUUGCUGGUUGAAUUUUCUGGCAUCAAAAUAUUGGAAUUUACGCUGCCAAAUGAAUUUCCUAUUUGAAUGUUAGAAAGAGGUAAGACGGAAAUUUUGUAGAGAGAGAAGGGACCAAGGCCAUAUAAGAAAAACUAAAAUUUUCUAACUUUUACAAUAGUACCAAAAUGGCACCGUUUUGGAGAAAAUCCUUUGACCCACGAGAACCUGUGGAGAUUCACGUGUAACCUGACUUGGACUCUGACUCAACCCAUAAUGUAGGUUUUCCUUUUUUUUGGUUGAUUUUCUACUUUGAUUUUUUUAAUAUCUUAUUUUAGUUUUUUGUUUUUUAUAUAUUAUUUUUAUUUUUAUAUUUUUAUAUUUAUUAUAAUUAUUUGAAUUAAUGUGGUGAGAAAAUAAAAAGAAAAAAUAGUUAUUUUUGCAUGAUUUUUUUUAUAACUAAUUGCAUGUUUUUAUAUUUAUUGUGUGAUCUAUUAAAUAUACUUUGUAUAACUACAUGAUUAUAUUUAAUUGUGUGAUAAAUAAUAUUAUUGCAUCAUAGUUUAUUAUUAUUGCAUGAUAUAUAAUAUUAUUAUUACAUGAUAUAUUUACAUGAUAAUUUUUCUUUAUUUUAACUGAUUUUUUAAAAAAAAUUAAAAAAAAGGGUUUUCAAAAAAAAUAUUUUUUAAUCUUACCAAACUAUUUGAGGAUUUAAGUCUUGAAUUAAGUUUUAUUAAACUAUUAGAAGCCUUAAUGAAUUUAAAAAAUAUAUUUUUUAAAAUCCUACCAACAUAUUAUAGGAUAAUUUUUGAUGAAAAAUCUUACCAACUUAUUGAAAGAUAUUUAUGAGAAUAAAUUGUUUUCACAAAUAAAAGUUUUUUACAACAAAAAAAUUAAACGAAUCCAAUGACAGAGCCUCUUCAAAGUGGUACACUAAUCUCCAUAAAUACUAUUGAUGUGAGAAAAUUAUCUUAAAUUAUUACCAAACUAUUGGAGUAAUUUUAAGAUCAAUUUUUAGUAAUUAAAUUAUUUGACAAAAUUACAAAGAGAAUUUAUGGUUUUGAUAAUUUGAAAUUAAAUUAGUAACAUCCUUUGGAUGGGCGUUGUGAGGGUGCUAUAAUCUUCCUUACGUAUAAUUAUACCCUCAAACCUAAAAUCUAGUUUCAUAAACUAGAAUCUAACUUUUAAAAAUACCUGAAUCAAGUUUAGAACUUCUCUUUAAAAUUAGACAGAUUCAGUUAGGUGAUCAAUCACACCUAAACAAAAAAAAAUUGAUGAGAACUCCUAAAAUCUCUGUCUGACAAUAAAUCCAAGAAUUUAUAUGUUAUAACAGUAUGGAACAUAUAAAAAUCAUUUAGCUCCGUUUGAUUAGUGCUUUUAUUUUUUCACUUUUUGCUAUUUGUCUUUUAUUUUCAAUUUAUUUUAUAUUUCAUAAGUUUGACUGGCUGUUCUAUAUAUAAUUAACAGAAAGACCAGUCAAUGCUGUUAGUAAUUCUGCUAUACCCUUGUUCAUAUAACACAUUGCUCAGAAUUUCAAAGUGUAGGCACCUGAUGGAAUAUUUUCCUUUUUUAAGUUUUAAGGAUCAUGUUGCUCGUUGACUAUUAGUGUAGGGGUCAUUUAUAGCUUCAUUUCUUUUAUUAUCACAUGAAAACCUACAAGCAUGGUGGCUGUAAAGUGUCAAUAAAUUACUUAAAUCCUACCGAGUCGCAGUCUGCUCAAUCUUUAUUAUCAACACUUGGUAUGGAACAUGUAAAAAUCAUUUAGCUCCAUUUGAUUAGUGCUUUUGUUUUUUUACUUUUUGUUAUUUGUCUUUUAUCUUUUUUUUUUUUUUUGCCUUUUUACUUUGUAUUGAAGAAAAUAAAAAAGCAAAUAACAAAAGCGUAAAUCAAAGGCAGCCUUAAAUUGGAAGUGCUAAAAUACUUGGUGGAAGUAAAAUGAUUGUUUUCAAUCUUUGUCAGCAUUGAACUAACUCUAUUGACAUAAUCUUCAUUCCUCUACUGCUAAUUUAUUCUGUUUGCACCUUUUUUAUGUGCAGAGAAUACUGGAACACAAAAACACCUGGAACUUAUCAUUGCAUAUGCCGUGACAAGCCUCUUUUUGAGUAAGUCUUUUGAUUUUGUUAGGAAUUUCCAACUAAAAUCAAUUGAACCUAUAACAUUCCAAACAUUUAUCAAUGCAUGAUCCUGUCCUCCAGAUCAUUGACUAAAUUUGACAGAACUGGCUGGCCUUCAUAUUAUCAGCCUACAGGAAACAAUGUGAAGUCAAAAUUAGAUCUGUCCAUAAUUCUUAUUCCUCGCAAAGAAGUUCUGUGUGCUGUUUGCAAUGCUUAUCUUGACCAUGUCUUUUGUGAUGGUCCUCCGCCUACAGGAAAGCGUUACAGCAUAAAUAGGUACACAUUUUUUUUUAAUGCCGGGUUGUGUCUAAUCUUAUGCAAUUUAUUUUUUAUGGACUUCAUUUUAACUAUGAUUAUUUUGCAGCGAUCCCCUAAAACUGAAACCCAAGCAAGAAAUAGUAUUAAGCUUGCAGUUGCAAAGCACAGACGAGACACUUGCAAUUGAAAAAAAUGAAACAACAUUUUCACUGACUUUGGUGUAUGAUGUUCAAUUAAUUUGGUGUGAUAGAAAUCCUUGUAAUUUUGUAGUAUUCAUGUAAGCCUGAUGGCGCAAAGGCAUGAUAAAAUCCUUGCAACAAGUUAUUGGCAUAUAAAACCCUUAAAAAAUACAUAUGAAGUUGUAUAAAACAAGUUAAAGAUUAUUUUAUUUUAUUUUAUUAAUAUCUUGAAGAUAAAACAUCUUGUUCAAGGUUGAGCCAAGUAAUAUAUAAGAAAGAAUUUAUAAUUAAUAAUACAUUAAUUUAGUCAGAAUAACACAUUAAAUUAAACAUAUAAUUGAGAACAAUAUUGUAGCUAACUUUAAUCCUUGCUUAUAGGUAUCCGUUAUUCAAACUUUUAGGGAAGAAAUGUUACAUGAUAUAAACAAAUGAUUACAUAAAAAAAAGAGAGAUAUUUGCUGAUGAGUACAAUAAAAACAUUUGUUAAUAAAAUUUUACUAACGAGUCUUUUUAUAUAUUUAUAAAAUUAGAUAACAUAUUAUUUAUAAUAUUUUUUAUGUUAUAUAUAAUAAUUAUUGUGAUAAUUUUAAUGUAUCUGAAAAAAUAUUUUCGUACCACGGGAAUAUUAAAGAAUGACCUAAACAAUGGUUUGGCAAAAUCCUAAGUACUGAAAUAACUUCAAAAAUGUUAUAAGCUGUGAUGAUUAAAUGUAAAAUACAAAUAUAUAAACUUUUUAAAAAUUUUUUAGGUUAAAAUAAUAAAAGUUCAUAAAUUUUAUUUCUUUAUUUAAAUAAACUUUUUUUAUUUUUAUUGAACUUAAAUAAUUUUUUUUUAUUUUACAUUCGAAUAAACUUUUAAAUUUUAAGUUUAUCUAAAUAUAUAUUUAUCAUCUAAUUUGUAUUUAAAUGUAUUAUUUAAAUACAAUAAAAAUAUAAAAUGUUAUCUAAAUAAAAUAAUAAAAUUCAAAAACCCUUUUAAUAUUUUAGUCAAAAUUUAAAUGACAUUUAUUACUAUCAUAAUAUUUUUGUAGUAGCAAAUUUCUUGAGACCGAAAGAAAAUAUUAAAUAAAAGAAAAAGAAAAAUCAAAUGAAAAACGCAAUAGAUGAGCGAAAAUUUCAAUGUAUGUUUGAUGGCGCAUGCAAUUGUAUAACCGCAACAUCUUUCUUGUCAGAAAACAAAAGUGUCGGUAAUACAUAUUUAGAAAAAUAAAAAACUAAUUUUUAUGGAUCCUGUGAUGUAAGCAAUGACAUAUAAUCUCAGUAUCCUUUUAUGGUAAAAGAAAGUCCUAGAAGAAAUCUUUAUAGAAAGUCCGCCAACUUCCCUAAACUAAUUUUUAUGGAUCCUGUGACAUAAGAAAUUACAUAUAGUCUGAGCAUUCCUUUAUGGUAAUAGAAGGCCCUCGAAGCACCAACGCUCCUAAAUUUUUUUGUCUAUAAAUACAUUUUGACAAACUCUUUUUCAUCGAAAACCAAAACCAAAACCAAAACAAAACCAAGGGUCUUUUUGAAGUCUUUUUAAAUUUUGAGUUCAAUUUCAAAUCUUUGAUUGUUUAGUUUAUCAAAAUGUCGGAGGAAGUAGUCUUGUUGGAUUUCUGGCCAAGUCCAUUUGGAAUGAGAAUGAGGAUUGCUUUGGCUGAGAAAGGGAUAAAAUAUGAGUCAAAGGAAGAAGAUUUGAGGAACAAGAGUGAUUUGCUUUUGCAGAUGAAUCCUAUUCACCAAAAAAUCCCUGUUCUUAUCCAUAAUGGUAAACCUGUUUGUGAGUCACUCAUCCAGGUUCAGUACAUUGAUGAGGUUUGGCAUCAUAAAUCUCCUUUGCUUCCUUCUGAUCCUUACCAGAGAGCUAUUGCUAGAUUCUGGGCUGAUUUUGCUGACAAGAAGGUACUUUCGUUUUUUACUUUUUUCUACUUUUUCUAAGUCUAAGUUUUCUUUGAUUUAGUCAGACUGACUUUGAAUUUUGGAGGGUUUUCUUUUUAUUUAUAAACCAGCAGUCUACUAAUUAAGAAUUGACUGCUAAUGCUAGUGUGAUAACUUUAAUCAAUAGACUGUUUUGAUUUGAGAUACUUUUGAGUUUCAAUUUUUUUUCUUUUUUUUGGGGUAAUUUUGAUAAUUAGAUGCCUAAUCAAGUCAAGUUGUGGUGAAUAGUAUAUUUUGGUAUAAUUGAUAUUGAAUCAAGCAGUGAGAGAUAACAUUGUUUAAUAAAAAUGCAGAUGUCUGACCUUGGGAGGAAAAUAUGGGCAACUAAGGGAGAAGAACAGGCAAAUGCAAAGAAAGAAUUUAUUGAGAGCCUGAAGCUGUUGGAAGGAGAGCUUGGAGACAAGCCUUACUUUGGUGGAGAAAAUCUUGGUUAUGUAGAUGUUGUCUUUGUCCCAUUUUACAGCUGGUUUUAUGCCUAUGAGAUGUGUGGUGACUUCAGCAUUGACGCAGAGUGCCCCAAACUGAUGGCAUGGGCUAAAAGGUGUCUGGAAAAGGAGAGUGUAUCCGAGUCUCUUCCUGACCAAGAAAAAGUCUAUGGCUUUGUUUUGCAAAUGAAGAAAGCCUUUGGAAUUGAGUGAAAUUGUGGAGGGGCUACUUUUAGUUUUCAUGUUUUAUGGUUGGUUUGAAUAAAUGGGCAUUUAGUUGUGCCUCGUUGUUUUGUGUUGUUAGGGUGAAUGUUUUCUUUUCUUUUUUUUUUUUUCCUGUUCUGAAAGAUAGUCAGAGCACUUAGAUUUGGUUGUGAUUCUGAUUUGAAAUUUGAAGUUAUUAAAAAGUAAUACGUUUCCUAAAUAUGUUUUACCUGGUAUUUUUUGUGCACAUAUUCUUUUUAAUUUCAGUUUUUUUUUAUCAAUUUGGCAACUUGGCUAUCCAUGUGGAUCGCAAAAAUUUCUGGUCUACUAUGACAAGAAUAGGAUAAAUUAUCAUUGAUGUCAAUUUUUUUUUAUUGUAAGAAUGUUUUCCUAAUUUCAACGAAAAAAUUGCAAGCCAUCUCUUUGUGAUUUUGUUUUAAAGCAUACUCAACUAAAUUUUGCUGAGUAAUGUAUAAGUCAAAAUCAAUUUCAAUUGAUGCUAAAAUUUGGACCUAAUUAACCAUUGCAAGGUUUUUCAAUAAAAAAUUACUUUUUGGUUUUUUUUUUUUUAUCUCUUUAAAUUCUAAUGUGAUGUAAUCAUCAUAUCAAUGUAUUAAGUAAUAAAUAGUUUAAGAAUUUUACAUAACAAUGCUCUUAGAUUGUUGAUAAUAAUCAUAUAUUAUUUUAUAUGAUGAUUAGAUUUUCAUCCAAAAACGUAAAAAAAAAUUUUAUCAAUGAGAGUUAUUUUUCAAAUCAUUUUAAAAUAAAUUAAAUUUCUGAUUGGUAUCCAUCAAAAUAUGUCUCUUUUUUUAUAAAUAAAAUUUCACUUUUUAAUCAUUUUAUACAAGACAAUUUAUAUGAUUUUAAAUACGAACAUGUUAAUAAUUUUGAAUCAUACUCAUGAGAACUUGUUCAUACCUUAUAUCUUUUGUAGAACAAUGAUUCUUAUUUUAUAAUUUUUUUUUCAUUCAAUAAAAAAUUAAAAACGUUGGUUUCUUUUAAAUAACCUUAAUAAUAAUAAUAAGGUUAUUUUGAAAUUUUUUUUAUUUUCAAUGAUUUUUUUAUGCAAUAUAAAGAAAUGAUUUAUAAUAUUAUAUUAAUCAUGAUGAUCUAAAAUCAUUACUCAUCAAAUUAUUUUAAUAAUUUUAUAAUCACGAUAAUUAGAUCACUACAAUUAUUUUAAAAGUGAUAAAAAAAAAAAAACUAUUCUUCAACUUUAACUUUCUCAUGAUUUUUUGAGGUUUAAUAUGUUUGGUGUGAUAAUGGGCUCUUAAGCCCAAAAAAAUUAGAUUUAAAGGCGAUGGAUAAGCCUACGAAUUAGUGCUAUUUUCAUUGAAUCGUUUUUGUCUUAAAUUUUGUAUUUCCUCACAUGAUAUAUAUAUAUAUAUAUAUAGUUAUUGAAUGAAUUCACAAAUGAUCUAUUAAUUCAUGAGUGAGUAAAUUAAUUCAUAAAUGAAAUAUUAUAAUUAUAAUUAAAAUAAUUAUUGUAUGCUAUAUUAGGGAAUACAAAUAUUUUUUGGGUAACUUGGCUGUCCAUAUGGACCGCAAAUUUCUAGCCAAAUUUGACAAGAACAGGAUGAAUUAUCGUUGAUGUCAUUUUUUUUCUAUUGUAAUUAAGAAUGUUUUCCUAAUUUCAACUAAAAAAAUUGCAAGCCACGUCUUUGUAAUUUUGUUUUAAUGAAUACUUAAUUAAAUUUUGAGGGGAUAGUAGAAAUCAAAAUAAUUUUGAAUAGAUGUCUAACUUUGGACCUAAUUAACCAUUGCAAGGUUUUUCAAUAAAAAGUUUACAUCUUGGUUUUUUUUUUAAAUGUUUUAGAAUAUCUUUAACAUCGAAAGUGAUGUAAUGAUUAUAUAACUGUAUUUAAGUAAUAAACAAUUUCAUAAUCUUACAUGAUAGUAAUUUUAAAUUAUUGAUAAUAAUUAAAUAUUCUUUUAUAUAAUAAUUUAAUUUUCAUAUAAAAAAUAUAAGAAAAUUUUAUCAUUGAGAGUGAGAAUGAUUUUUAAAAUCAUUUUAAGAUAAAUUUAUUUUCAAAUUGGUAUCCAUCAAAAUAUGUUUCUCUUUAAAUUUUUUUAAAAAACAAACUUUCACUUUUUUAAAUCAUUUUGUACAAGAUAAUUUAUAUGACUUUAAAUAUGAACAUUAUAAUAAUUUUGAAUUAUACUCAUAAGAACUUAUUCAUACCCUAUAAUUUUUUUUUUCUAAAUGGUAUAAAAAGCCCUUUGAACUAUAAUUAAAAUAUCAUUCCAGCUUUUAUUUUUUUAUUGUAACCAAUCAAUUCUUUCAACAUUUACAUGCAUCCAAUUAAAUUUUAUUUGGAUGAAAAUGUUUCCUUAAUUUUUUUUUGUCAACUAAUAUAAAAUUUCUUGUGAAAUCUAUAAAAUAGAUGAAAGUUUAUCACGUAAUAUAAUUAAUAUUUAAAAAUUAAAUAAAAUAAGCUUUUCUUUUUUUUCUCUCUCUAUUUUCUUUGUUUCCUUUUCUCUAAGAUCUCUAUAAAGAAUUAAUUGACUAAAUUUUAUUACAUAAUUAGAUUUUAUUCAUUUAAAAAUUUAUCUUUUUAUUGAGUCAGUAAAAAGUUUCAGUUCAAAGUUAAUCCCAGCCGAUAUUUAGGAUUUCUAUCAACACCUUUACUUGGCGUGGAUGUUCCAUAAAGAAGCGUGGAGUUAAGGAUGCAUAUGUUAAGCAUCUUUGGUUUUGGGUAUGUAGAGUAUUUAUUUUAUUGAUAGGGUUUUCUAUGCUUAUGGAUGUUUUGGAUAUUGAAAAUAUUUUUUUUGUUAGGGAAUAUUGACUCAAAUAUCAUAAACGAUUUAUUUGGAAUUAAAUUAACUAAAUAUUACUUGAUGAAUAAAAAUAUUUGCAAGAGAAGAAUUUUAAGAGAAAAUAUAUUUUUAAUAGACAAGUUUAUAUGCUUAUAAAUAAAUAAAAUUUCUAUUAGGUUAAGUAUGAGAAAAAAUAUAAGAGAGCUAUAGGGUUUAUGGGAUAAACACUCCCUAAGACUAUUGAAAAUUUACGAAAGAGACUGAAAAAGUUUACAUAGGUAUAGUGCCUUGGUGCAUAUAGAUAUGCGUUUAUUUGGAUUAAGAAUACUCCGUGUAAAUUGUUUGCUUUUGUAUCCAACACAUUCUUUGGACAUUUUGGAAGCAAAAGUUAAGGACCAAAAGUGGUGGUGAAAGGAGCCAAAUUUGUUUUUGGCCUUCCAAAAGUUUUCUCUUUUAGCAAGGGAUCUAUUUACAAUGCAAUUUCGGAGAUGUCUUCUGGUGUCAUGUAGCCGUGAACAUAUAGUCAUUGUAUAAAGUGGCCUCUGAACUCAAAACUUGUUCAAUUAUGUAUCUAAAUCUUAAAAAUUGUGUGCAUUUUGGUCGGAUAACUGAUAGAAUUGAUUAAUGUGCUAAGUAGAUAGAUGGGUUUGUUAACUAUAGAACAGUACAAAGUAUAUUUUAUUAAACACUAUGUGUAAGCAUUUUGAUGGCAUGUGAUGCCCAUGUGGACUGGAAACUUGCCUGGAUUAUAACACAUAUCUCACUUGCCUGAUGGAUAUAUUCAUGCAAUAAAAUAACUGCUUGAGAUCUAGUUUAUUGCAAACUGCAACAUACCUGACACCUUGUGUGAAAUUUCUUUUUUUCUCUAACAAGUUUGACUAGCUGUUCUACAUAUAAUUAACAGAAAGGCAGGUCAAUGCCGCUAGAAUUGAAAGUGUAGGCACCGGAUGGAAUACUUCCUUUUUUCAGUUUUAAGGAUCAUGUUACUCGUUGAUUAUUGGUGUAGGGGUCAUUUAUAGCGUCAUUUCUUUUAUUAUCACAUGAAAUCCCACCAGUAUGGUGGCUGUAAAGUGUCAAUAAAUUACCUAAAUCCUGCCGAGUCACAAUCUAAUCAAUCUGCAUUAUCAACACUUGGUACGGAACAUGUAAAAAUCAUUUAGCUCCAUUUGAUUAGUGCUUUUGUUUUUUUUACUUUUUCUAUUUGUUUUUUUAUUUUCAGUAUUGUUUUUUUUUCUUUCUCAUUUUGUAUUGAAGAAAAUAAAAAGCAAAUAACAAAAGCGUAAAUAAAAGGCAGCCUUAAAUUGGAAGUGCUAAAAUACUUGGUGGACGUAAAAUGAUUGUUUUCAAUCUUUGUCUGCAUUGAACUAACUGCUAUUGAUAUAAUCUUCAGUCCUCUACUGCUAAUUUAUUCUGUUUGCACCUUUUGAAUGUGCAGAGAAUACUGGAACACAAAAACACCUGCAACUUAUCAUUGCAUAUGCCGUGACAAGCCUCUUUUUAAGUAAGUCUUUGAUUUUGUUAGGAAUUUCCAACUAAAAUCAAUUGAACCUACAACAUUCCAAACAUUUAUCAAUACAUGAUCCUCUCCUCCAGAUCAUCGACUAAAUUUGACAGAACUGGCUGGCCUUCAUAUUAUCAGCCUAUAGGAAACAAUGUGAAGUCAAAAUUAGAUCUGUCCAUAAUUCUUAUGCCUCGCGAAGAAGUUCUGUGUGCUGCUUGCAAUGCUCAUCUUGACCAUGUCUUUUAUGAUGGUCCUCCACCUACAGGAAAGCGUUAAAGCAUAAAUAGGUAAAACAUUUUCUUUUAAUGCCGGGUUGUGUCUAAUCUUAUGCAAUUUAUUCUUUAUGGACUUCAUUUGAGCUAUGGUUAUUUUGCAGCGAUCCCCUAAAACUGAAACCCAAGUAAGAAAUAGUAUUAAGCUUGCAGUCGCAAAGCACAGACGAGACACUUGUGAUUGAAAAAAAUGAAAUAAUAUUUUCACUGAAUUUGGUGUAUGAUGUUCAACUAAUUUCAUGUGACAGCAAAUCCAUGUAAUUUUGUAGUAUUCAUGUAAGCCUGAUGGCACAAAGGCAUGAUAAAAUCCUUGCAACAAGUUAUUGGUAGUAUAAAACCCUUAAAAAAUGCAUAUGAAGUUGUAUAAAACAAAUUAAAGAUUAUUUUAUUUUAUUAAUAUCUUGAAGAUAAAACACCUUGUUCAAGGUUGAGCCAGUAAUAUAUCAGAAAAAAUUUAUAAUUAAUAAUACAUUAAUUUAGUAAGAAUAACACAUUAAAUUAAAUAUAUAAUUGAGAACAAUAUUGUACCUAACUUCAAUCUUUACUUAUAGGCAUCCGUUACUCAAACUUAGGGAAGAAAUGUUACAUGAUAUAAACAAAUGAUUACAUAAUAAAAAGAGAGAUAUUUGCUGAUGAGUACAAUAAAAACAUUUUUUAAUAAAAUUUUACUAACGAGUCUUUUAUAUAUUUAUAAAAUUACAUAACAUAUUAUUUAUAGUAUUUUUUAUGUUAUAUAUAAUAAUUAUUGUGAUAAUUUUAAUGUAUCUGAAAAAAUAUUUUCGUACCACGGGAAUAUUAGAAUGACCUAAACAAUGGUUUGGCAAAAUCCUAAGUACUGAAAUAACUUCAAAAAUGUUAUAAGCUGUGAUGAUUAAAUGUAAAAUACAAAUAUAUAAACUUUUUAAAAAAUUUUUAGGUUAAAAUAAUACAAGUUCAUAAAUUUUAUUUCUUUAUUUAAAUAAACUUUUUUUUAUUUUUAUUGAACUUAAAUAAUUUUUUUUUAUUUUACAUUCAAAUAAACUUUUAAAUUUUAAGUUUAUCUAAAUAUAUAUUUAUCAUCUAAUUUGUAUUUAAAUGUAUUAUUUAAAUACACUAAAAAUAUAAAAUGUUAUCUAAAUAAAAUAAUAAAAUUCAAAAACCCUUUUAAUAUUUUAGUCAAAAUUUAAAUGACAUUUAUUACUAUCAUAAUAUUUUUGUAGUAGCAAAUUUCUUGAGACCGAAAAAAAAAAUAAAAGAAAAAGAAAAAUCAAAUGAAAAACACAAUAGAUGAGCGAAAAUUUCUGUGUAUGUUUGAUGGCGCAUGCAAUUGCAUAACAGCAACAUCGUUUCUUGUCAGAAAACGAAAGUGUCAGUAAUACAUAUUUAGAAAAAUAAAAAACUAAUUUUUAUGGAUCCUGUGAUGUAAGCAAUGGCAUAUAAUCUGUGUAUCCUUUUGUAGUAAAAGAAAGUCCACCAACUUCCCUAAACUAAUUUUUGUAGAUCCCGUGACAUAAGCAAUUACAUAUAGUUUGAGUAUUCUUUUAUCGUAAUAGAAGGCCCUCGAAGCACCAACGCUCCUAAAUUUUUUUGUAUAUAAAUACACUUUGACAAACCCUUUUUCAUCGAAAACCAAAACCAAAACCAAAACAAAACCAAGGGUUUUUUUUUAAGUCUUCUUAAAUUUUUAGUUGAGUUUCAAAUCUGUGAUUGUUUAGUUUAUCAAAAUGUCGGAGGAAGUAGUUGUGUUGGAUUUCUGGCCAAGUCCAUUUGGAAUGAGAAUGAGGAUUGCUUUGGCUGAGAAAGGGAUAAAAUAUGAGUCAAAGGAAGAAGAUUUGAGGAACAAGAGUGAUUUGCUUUUGCAGAUGAAUCCUAUUCACCAAAAAAUCCCUGUUCUUAUCCAUAAUGGUAAACCUGUUUGUGAGUCACUCAUCCAGGUUCAGUACAUUGAUGAGGUUUGGCGUCAUAAAUCUCCUUUGCUUCCUUCUGAUCCUUACCAGAGAGCUAUUGCUAGAUUCUGGGCUGAUUUUGUUGACAAGAAGGUACUUUCGUUUUUUACUUUUUUCUAAGUUUUCAUUGAUUUAGUCAGACUGACUUUGAAUUUUGGAGGGUUUUCUUUUUAUAUAUAAACAAACAGUCUACUAAUUAAGCAUUGACUGCUAAUGCUAGUGUGAUAACUUUAAUCAAUAGACUGUUUUGAUUUGAGAUACUUUUGAGUUUCAAUUUUUUUUCUUUUUUUUGGGGUAAUUUUGAUAAUUAGAUGCCUAAUCAAGUCAAGUUGUGGUGAAUAGUAUAUUUUGGUAUAAUUGAUAUUGAAUCAAGCAGUGAGAGAUAACAUUGUUUAAUAAAAAUGCAGAUGCCUGACCUUGGGAGGAAAAUAUGGGCAACUAAGGGAGAAGAACAGGCAAAUGCAAAGAAAGAAUUUAUUGAGAGCCUGAAGCUGUUGGAAGGAGAGCUUGGAGACAAGCCUUACUUUGGUGGAGAAAAUCUUGGUUAUGUAGAUGUUGUCUUGGUCCCAUUUUACAGCUGGUUUUAUGCCUAUGAGAAGUGUGGUGACUUCAGCAUUGAAGCAGAGUGCCCCAAACUGAUCGCAUGGGCUAAAAGGUGUCUGGAAAUGGAGAGUGUAUCCGAAUCUCUUCCUGACCAAGAAAAAGUCUAUGGCUUUGUUUUGCAAAUGAAGAAAGCCUUUGGAAUUGAGUGAAAUUGUGGAGGGGCUACUUUUAGUUUUCAUGUUUUAUGGUUGGUUUGAAUAAAUGGGCAUUUAGUUGUGCCUCGUUGUUUUGUGUUGUUGGGGUGAAUGUAUUCUUUUCUUUUUUUUUUUUCCUGUUCUGAAAGAUAAUCUUACAUGAUAGUGAUUUUAAAUUAUUGAUAAUAAUUAAAUAUUCUUUUGUAUAAUAAUCUAAUUUUCAUAUAAAAAAUAUGAGAAAAUUUUAUCAUUGAGAGAGAGAAUGAAAUUUAAAAUCAUUUUAAGAUAAAUUUAUUUUCAAAUUGGUAUCCAUCAUAAUAUGUUUCUCCUUAAAUUUUUUUAAAAAACAAACUUUCAGCUUUUAAAUCAUUUUAUACAAAAUAAUUUAUAUGACUUUAAAUAUGAACAUGUUUAUAAUUUUGAAUUAUACUCAUAAGAACUUAUUCAUACCUUAUAAAAUUUUUUUCUAAAGGGUAUAAAAAGCCCUUUGAACUAUAAUUAAAAUAUCAUUUUAGCUUUUAUUUUUUAUUAUAAUCAAUCAAUUCUUUCAACAUAGAUUUGCAUCCAAUUAAAUUUUAUUUGGAUGAAAAUGUUUCUUUAAAUUUUUUUGUCAACUAAAAUAAAAUUUCAUGUGAAAUCUAUAAAAUAGAUUAAAGUUUGUCACGUAAUAUAAUUAAUAUAUUUUAAAAUUAAAUAAAAUCAGCUUUUCUUUUUUUUUUUUCUCUCUAUUUUCUUUGUUUCCUUUUCUCUAAGAUCUCUAUAAAGAAUUAAUUGACUGUAAAUCAAAAAUUAAUUGACUAAAUUUUGUCGCAUAAUUAGAUUUCAUCCAUUUAAAAAUUCAAUUUUUAACUAAAUUAGUAAGUUAAUCCCAGCUGAUCUAUCAGCACCUUUACUUGGUGUGGAUUUUCCAUAAAGAAGCGUGGAGGUAUGGCUGCAUAUGUCAAGCAUCUUUGGUUUUGGGUGUGUAGUGUAUUUAUUAUAUUGAAUGGGUUUUUUUUAUGCCUGUGGAUGUUUUGGAAAUUGGAAAUAUUUUUUUUUGUUACGAAUAUUAACUCAAAUCUCAUAAAUGAUUUAUUUGGGAUUAACUAGAUAUUAUUUGAUAAAUACUUAUAACAGGAGAAUUUUAAAAGAAAAAAUAUUCUUGACAGGCAGAUUUAUAUGCUUAUAAAUAAGUAAAAUUUCUAUUGAGUUAAGUAUGAGAAAAAAAUAUAAGAGAGUUUAUGAGAUAGACACUCUAUAGGAUUGCUGGAGAUUUACGAAAGAGAUUAAGAGAGUCUACAUAGAUAUAGUGCAUUGAUGCACAUAGGUAUAUGUUUAUUUGGAUUAAAAAUACUCCAUAGACUAGAGAAGAUUAAAAGAGUUUAUGGGUAUUGAUUAUAAGUGCAUAUUUAUAUGUACAGUAUGAUUGUGAUUCUUCAUAACUAAUGAAUUUUUUUUCAUCCGUUAAUGUAGGUCGAUUAAGCCAAACUGCAUUAAAUUUAUAUUCUUGUGUGGUUGAUUGAUUAUUUGAUUUUGUUUUUGCUAGUGUGAAUAUUCAAUUUGAUUAGAUUGGGAUUUUUCGCCUAAGAAGUGAUAUUAGCAUUGUCAUAAUCCCAACAAGUAGUAUCAGAGUUGAAGGUUGAGACAUAUAAAAAGGUAAGCUCAGAGGAGCUCGAUUUAAGAGAAAAAUUUGAGUUUGUGUUUUGAGAAUUGAUAUAAAUGAAGCUAUGAGGCACAGAAGAGAAGAUAAUUGCAAGACUUCCAUUGUAGUUGGAGCUAAACAUGUCUAGUAUGAAGACUGAUGAUUUGAUAGAAUUUGAGUCAAAGUGGAGAUUAUUGAGAAUAGUGACUCAAAACUCAUAAGUGAUUUGUUUGGGAUUGAAUGUAUAUUACUUGAUGGAUAAAAAUACUUGCAAAAGAAGAAUUCUAAGAGAAAAUAGAUUCUUGAUAAGUAAGUUUGUAUAUUUAUAAAUAAGUGAAGUCUCUAUUGGGUGAGAUAUGAAAAAAAAAAGUUGUAGGGUUUAUAGGAUAAACACUUUAUAGAACUACUGAAAAUUCACAUCUUAUGGAUGUAUAUAUUUGAAUGUGUGUAAGUAGACUAAAAGAGACUGAAAGGAUCCACGUAAAUAUGAUAUAUACGUGCACAUUGGUACGUAUUUGUUUGGGUUGAGAAUACUCCGUGACUAGAAGAGAUUGAGAGGAUUUGAUGAAUGAUUAUUGAUAUGGAUUGUAUGAUUAUAAUUCUCUACAAUUAGUAGAUCUUUUUUUUCAUCUGUGAACAUAGGUUGACUAGAUCAAAUCAUGUUAAAUUAUUAUCUCUUGUGUGGUUGAUUUAUUAUUUGUUUGAUUUUGCUUCUCUUGACAUAAAUGUUCAAUUCAAUUGGAUUGGGGUUUUUCUCCUAAUAAGUAGUAUCAGAGUUAUUAAAAUUCUAACACUUUUAUUGUUUGGUUGAAAGAUAUAACGGUGGAGCUCGUGUUUGUGCUUUUUGAAUAGUACUAUGAGUUUGAAGUUCAUUAAAGCAUCUUCUUUUCCUACGUUUUUUUUUUUUUUUUGAAAAUAUAUUUUUAACAAUGAAACAGCUAAAACAACGUUAAAUCACCUUUUCUGGGGCUUGUUUGGAUGAAUAUAUAUUCUUCUUCUUUCCUGUCAAAACCCUGCACUAUUAUUUUUCCUUUAUUAUUAAAAAUCUGAAUCUGUUUUGCCUCAUGAUAUUUGAUUGUUUGUCCUGUGUAGCGACGGGUGGGGGUGUGGUUGACGUUGCUUCUUUAAGUGACGAAGAAUGGAAGAAGAAGCUUACACCUGAACAAUUUUACAUUACUCGACAAAAAGGGACUGAGAGAGCUUUCACUGGGUAUGUUCUUCUAUUCAUAGAAACUGUACUGCUUUUUCAGGUUCAACUUCUGAAAAUGCACUUUACUUUCUAAGAUAAUGGUUUUAAGUAUUUUCUAAGAAUUCCACUAGUCUGAGAGAUUAGUGUUUCUGCGUACUUUCUUUUCCGAGCUAUAAGAAUUUCUUCCUAGUACUAAUCUAUUUGACAGCCCCUUUUUUGGUACCCUGAAAGUUCGUUUUAGUUGUCCCCCCUAUGCAGGUGUCUUAAUUCAAAUAGAAAAUGUAUGCCAGAAUCUAAUUUCUCUUACUUUUCUCUCGUUUGAUGAAUGAUUUCAAUCUCUUAAUGAUGUGAAUCCUUCUUCUAUCCCUACAAAGUAGGUGGCAAAUACUAGUAUAUUGUGCAGACACAUGCAUGUGAGCAUUUUUCCUAUUGGCGGUGAAAAUAAAAUGGAGUACCAGAGAGUUUGUCUCUAAAUUUCAUCUCUUUUGAAUAUGAAGAUUACAUGGUAUGUAGCUGAGCUAACUUGGUUAGUAAGCUUCUUUUAACGUUUCUGGUGAUUCAUACUUUAAAAAGAAAUAGAGGGAGUCAGACUUCAUAAAAAUAUCAUGCAUGAGCCACCUCCCAAUUUCUGUUCAUACUUUAUUACGGUUUAUUUGGUUAUUACUUUUGAUAGUUACUUUUUAGAUAAAGUUCUAAAGUACAAACACAUAAUAUUAAGCAAAAUCAUAUUUCAUCAAAACAAAAGGGUAAGAUAUAAAACCAAUUCAAAAGUAAUAAAUUCAUACAAGAGCAAAAUCAAGCAUUUUUAUCCGUGAAAGUUGAAUUUUUAUUUUUUAAGCCUUCAGUAAAUUGUUUGCUUUUGUAUUCAACAAAUUUUUGGACAUUUUGCUUCUGGAAGCAAAAGUUAAGGACCAAAAGUGGUGGUGAAAGGAGCCAAAUUUGUUUUUGGCCUUCCAAAAGUUUCUCUUUUAGCAAGGGAUCUAUUUACAAUGCAAUUUAGGAGAUAUCAUCUGAUGUCAUGUAGCCGUGAACAUAUUGUCAUUGUAUAAAGCGGCCUCUGAAAUCAAAAUUGUUCAAUUCGGUAUCUAAAUCUUAAAAAUUGUGUGCAUUUUGGUUGGAUAACUGAUAGAAUUGAUUAAUGUGCUAAGUAGAUAGAUGGGUUUGUUAACUAUAGAACAGCACAAAGUAUAUUUUAUUAAACACUAUGUGUAGGCAUUUUAAUGGCAUGUGAUGCCCAUGUGGACUAGAAACUUGCCUGGAUUAUAACACAUAUCUCACAUGCCUGAUGGAUAUAUUCAUGCAAUAAAAUACCUGCUUGAGAUCCAGUUUGUUGCAAACUGCAACAUACCACCUGACACCUUGUGUGUAAUUUCAAUUUUCUCUAACAAGUUUGACUAGCUGUUCUAUAUAUAAUUAACAGAAAGACCAGUCAAUGCUGUUAGUAUUCAAAGUGUAGGCACCGGAUGGAAUAUUUUCCUUUUUCAGUUUUAAGGAUCAUGUAACUCGUUGAUUAUUAGUGUGGGGGUCAUUUAUAGCUUCAUUUCUUUUAUAAUCACAUGAAAACCUACCAGCAUGGUAGCUGUAAAGUGUCAAUAAAUUACCUAAAUCCUGCCGAGUCACAAUCUACUCCAUCUGCAUUAUCAACACUUGGUAUGGAACAUGUAAAAAUCAUUUAGCUCCAUUUGAUUGGUGCUUUUGUUUUUUUUACUUUUUGCUAUUUGUCUUUUAUUUUCGUUUUUUUUUUUUCCUUUUUCACUUUGUAUUGAAGAAAACAAAAAGCAAAUAACAAAAGCGUAAAUCAAAGCAGCUUUAAAUUUGAAGUGCUAAAAUACUUGGUGGACGUAAAAUGAUUGUUUUCAAUCUUUGUCUGCAUUGAACUAACUGCUAUUGAUAUAAUCUUCAUUCCUCUACUGCUAAUUUAUUCUGUUUGCACCUUUUUUAUGUGCAGAGAAUACUGGAACACAAAAACACCUGCAACUUAUCAUUGCAUAUGCCGUGACAAGCCUCUUUUUGAGUAAGUCUUUUGAUUUUGUUAGGAAUUUCCAACUAAAAUCAAUUGAACCUACAACAUUCCGAACAUUUAUCAAUACAUGAUCCUGUCCUCCAGAUCAUCGACUAAAUUUGACAGAACUGGUCGGCCUUCAUAUUAUCAGCCUAUAGGAAACAAUGUGAAGUCAAAAUUAGAUCUGUCCAUAAUUCUUAUGCCUCGCGAAGAAGUUCUGUGUGCUGCUUGCAAUGCUCGUCUUGAACAUGUCUUUUAUGAUGGUCCUCCACCUACAGGAAAGCAUUACAGCAUAAAUACGUAAAACAUUUUCUUUUAAUGCCGGGUUGUGUCUAAUCUUAUGCAAUUUAUUCUUUACGGACUUCAUUUGAACUAUGGCUAUUUUUCAGUGAUCCCCUGAAACUGAAACCCAAGUAAGAAAUAGUAUUAAACUUGCAUUUGCAAAGCACAGACGAGACACUUGUGAUUGAAAAAAAUGAAAAAACAUUUUCACUGACUUUGGUGUAUCAUGUUCAAUUAAUUAGGUGUGAUAACAAAUCCAUGUAAUUUUAUAGUAUUCAUGUAAGCCUGAUGGCGCAAAGGCAUGAUAAAAUCCUUGCAACAAGUUACUGAAAGUAUAAAACCCUUAAAAAAUGCAUUUCAAAUUGUAUAAAGCAAGUUAAAUAUUAUUUUAUUUUAUUAAUAUCUUGAAGAUAAAACAUCUUGUUCAAGAGGUUGAGCCAAGUAAUAUAUAAUAAAAAAUUUAUAAUUAAUAAUACAUUAAUUUAGUCAGAAUAACACAUUAAGUUAAACAUAUAAUUGAGAACAAUAUUGUAGCUAACUUUAAUCUUUGCUUAUAGGCAUCCGUUACUCAAACUUUUAGGGAAGAAAUGUUACAUGAUAUAAACAAAUGAUUACAUUAAAAAAAGAGUGAUAUUUGCUGAUGAGUACAAUAAAAACAUUUUUUAAUAAAAUUUCACUAACGAGUCCUUUUAUAUAUUUAUAAAAUUAGAUAACAUAUUAUUAUUUAUAAUAUUAUUUAUAUUAUAUCUAAUAAUUAUUGUGAUAAUUUUAAUGUAUCUAAAAAAAUAUUUUCGUAUCACGAGAAUAUUAAAGAAUGCCCUAAACAAUGGUUUAGCAAAAUCCUAACUGAAAUAACUUCAAAAAAUGUUAUAAGCUGUGAUGAUUAAAUGUAAAAUACAAAUAUAUAAACUUUUUAAAAAUUUUUAAGGUUCAAAUAAUAAAAAGUUCAUAAAUUUUAUUUCUUUAUUUAAAUAAACUUUUUUGUUUUUAUUGUACUUAAAUAUUUUUUUAUUUUUUAUUUUACAUUCAAAUAAAAUUUUAAAUUUUAAGUUUAUCUAAAUAUGUAUUUACCAUCUAAUUUGUAUUUAAAUAUAUUAUUUAAAUACAACAAAAAUAUAAAAUGUUAUCUAAAUAAAAUAAUAAAAUUCAAAAACCCUUUUAAUGUUUUAGUCAAAAUUUAACUGACAUAUAUUGCAAUCAUAAUGUUUUUGUAGUAGCAAAUUUCUUGAGACCGAAAGAAAAAAUUAAAUAAAAGAAAAUGAAAAAUGAAAUGAAAAACGUAAUAGAUGAGCGAAAUUUUGUGUAUAUGUUUGAUGGCGCAUGCAAUUGCGUAACAGCAACAUUGUUUCUAGUCAGAAAACAGAAGCGUCAGUAAUACAUAUUUAGAAAAAUAAAAAACUAAUUUUUAUGGAUCGUGUGACGUAAGCAAUGGCAUAUAAUCUCAGUAUCCUUUUUUAGUAAAAGAAACUCCUAGAAUAAAUCUUUAUAGAAAGUCCAUGAACUUCCCUAAACUAAUUUUUAUGGAUCCUGUGACGUAAGCAAUUGCAUAUAGUUUGAAUAUUCUUUUAUGGUAACAGAAGCCCUCGAAGCACCAACGCUCCUAAAUUUUUUUGUCUAUAAAUACACUUUGACAAACUCUUUUUCAUCGAAAACCAAAACCAAAACAAAACCACCGGUUUUUUUUUUUUGAAGUCUUUUUAAAUUUUGAGUUGAGUUUCAAUCUUUGAUUGUUUAGUUUAUCAAAAUGUCAGAGGAAGUAGUUUUGUUGGAUUUCUGGCCAAGUCCAUUUGGAAUGAGAAUGAGGAUUGCUUUGGCUGAGAAAGGGGUAAAAUACGAGUCAAAGGAAGAAGAUUUGAGGAACAAGAGUGAUUUGCUUUUGCAGAUGAAUCCUAUUCACAAAAAAAUCCCUGUUCUUAUCCAUAAUGGUAAACCUGUUUGUGAGUCACUCAUCCAGGUUCAGUAUAUUGAUGAGGUUUGGCAUCAUAAAUCUCCUUUGCUUCCUUCUGAUCCUUACCAAAGAGCUAUUGCCAGAUUCUGGGCUGAUUUUGUUGACAAGAAGGUACUUUUUUUUUGUUUUUUUACUUUUUUCUACUUUUUCUAAGUCUAAGUUUUCUUUGAUUUAGUCAGACUGACUUUGAAUUUUGGAGGGUUUUCUUUUUAUAUAUAAACAGUCUACUAAUUAAGCAUUGACUUAGAAAAAGUUGUGGUGAAUGUUAUUUUUUGGUAUAAUUGAUAUUGAAUCAAGCAGUGAGAGAUAACAUUCAUUCAUUUUCAUAAAUCUCAUCUCACCUGUAUAAACAUUUUCGUAAAUAAUAUAUAACGUGUUGUACCUAAAUUAUUGUUUAAUAAAAAUGCAGAUGCCUGACCUUGGGAGAAAAAUAUGGGCAACUAAGGGAGAAGAACAGGCAAAUGCAAAGAAAGAAUUUAUUGAGAGCCUGAAGCUGUUGGAAGGAGAGCUUGGAGACAAGCCUUACUUUGGUGGAGAAAAUCUUGGUUAUGUAGAUGUUGUCUUGGUCCCAUUUUACAGCUGGUUUUAUGCCUAUGAGAAGUGUGGUGACUUCAGCAUUGAAGCAGAGUGCCCCAAACUGCUUGCAUGGGCUAAAGGGUGUCUGGAAAAGGAGAGUGUAUCCAAGUCUCUUCCUGACCAAGAAAAAGUCUAUGGCUUUGUUUUGCAAAUGAAGAAAGUCUUUGGAAUUGAGUGAAAUUGUGGAGGGGUUUCAUGGUUGAUUUGAAUAAAUGGGCAUUUAGUAGUGCCUCGUUGUUUUGUGUUGUUGGGGUGAAUUUUUUUUUUUUUCCUGUUCUGAAAGAUAGUCAAAGCACUUAGAUUUGCAUGUGAUUCUGACUUGAAAUUUGAAGUUAUUAAAAAGAAAUACAUUUCCUAAAUGUUUUACCUGGUAUUUUUUGUGCACAUAUUCUUGUUAAUUUAAAUGUUUUUAUCAAUUUGGUAACCUGGCUGGUCUACUAUGACAAGAAUAGGAUGAAUUAUCAUUGAUGUCUUUUUUUUUUAUUGUAAGAAUGUUUUCCUAAUUUCAACUAAAAAAAUUGCAAGCCAUCUCUUUGUGAUUUUGUUUUAAAGCAUACUUAACUAAAUUUUGGAGAGGAUUGUAUAAGUCAAAAUCAUUUUCAAUUGAUGCCAAAAUUUGGACCUAAUUAACCAUUGCAAGGUUUUUCAAUAAAAAAUUUAAUUUUUGGUUUUUUUUUAUCUCUUUAAAUUAGAAUGUGAUGUAAUUAUCAUAUCAAUGUAUUAAGUAAUAAAUAAUUUAAGAAUUUUACAUAACAAAGCUCUUAGAUUAUUGAUAAUAAUUAUAUAUUAUUUUAUAUGAUGUUUAGAUCUUCAUCCUAAAGCGUAAAAAAAUUUUAUCAAGGGGAGUAAUUUUCAAAUCAUUUUAGAAUAAAUUAAAUUUCGGAUUGGUGUCCAUCAAAAUAUGUUUCUCUUUUUUUAUAAACAAAAUUUCACUUUUUAAUCAUUUUAUAUAAGACAAUUUAUAUAAUUUUAAAUAUGAAAAUGUUAAUAAUUUUGAAUCGUGCUCAUAAGAACUUGUUCAUACCUUAUAUCUUUUUAUAGAACAAUGAUUUUUAUUUUAUAAUUUUUUUUAUUCAAUAAAAAUUAAUAACGUUGCUUGCUUAAUAAUAAUAAUAAUAAUAAUAAUAAUAAUAAUAAUAAUAAGGUUAUUUUGAUUUUUUUUAAUUUUCAAUGAUUUUUUAUGCAAUAUAAAAAAUUAUUUAUAAUAUUAUAUUAAUCAUGAUAAUCAAAAAUAAUUACUCAUCAAAUUAUUUUAAUAAUUUUAUAACCACGAUAAUUAAAUCACUACAACUAUUUUAAAAGUGAUAAAAAAAAUAAUCUUCAACUUCAACUUUCUAUGAUUUUUGGAGGUUUAAUAUGUUUGGUACGAUAAUGGGCAUUUAAGCCCAAAAAAGGAGUUUUAAAAGGGAUGGGUAUGCCUACGAAUUAGGGUAGACAUUAAAUUUAUCUGAAUGUUAAUCGUGUCUCGAUUGAAUAUUUAUUGGAUAUCAGAUUCUCGAAUUAAGUUUUGAUUGCAAUUCAAUUAGGCUGAGGCCUAAUUUCAAUUUGAUUGGGCUUUUGGUUCGAUUUCAAUUCAAAUAGAUUUGAUUUUGAUUGGGCCUGAAGUCCAAUUUCGCUUUUAAGCGCAAAGCCUGUUUACCUUUUAUUUUAUUAAUUUAUUAAUUAAACAAAAAUACAAAAUACAAAAAUAUAAAAAUACAAAAAUACAAAAAAGUAAAAAAAGGCUGAUGGCAGUGGUGCCUUGCACGGCACCACUAGCCACCUACCCCUCGAUCACCCAUCCCUCUAAUCACCCAUACCCUGCAAACCUUAUCCACCCUAUCAACACUCCUAAAGCCCCAUGCCCAAUCAAUUCUAGAUCUUUACAAAAACCAAUUUGAAAACCCAAAAGCUCAAAGAGAGAAGACUGGAGGCAUUCCCUUUUCUAUGCCCAGACACUGCUCUGGAACUCAUCAGAAACCCCAGUCACACUGCUCUUGAACACCCAGAAACUCUAAGUCUCUCUCACCCAGAACCCCCAAACUCUCACACCCAAACAAUCCAGUCCCUGCCCGUCUCGAAAACCAUGCCUCCAUGCACCCUGCUAGGUACCUUCGACACAAACCAAUCCCCCCACCUAUAAAAAAAUUGAAAAACCCGAAACACCCAACCACAAUAAAAAAAAUAAAAAAAAUUCAUAAAAAAACAAAGAACAGUCCUUCAGUAGGAAGGAACCUAGCACUGAGAGUUCCUUGUGAAAAAAAAGAAAAGGAAAAGUCAGUAAGAAAAAAGAAAUAUCAAAAGUCAAAAAUAAUAAAAAAAAAGUUUUGACGAAACUUUGAAAGUCAAUCUAGGCCAUUUGGGACACUUUCAGGUGAAACCAAGCUCAGAUCUGUGCUCAGAGGGCAAAGAAAAAUUUUUUAGGAGUUUUUGAGAUUUUUUGGUGACCGACGACCGGCGAUUUGCGGUCGACCAACACCAAUGGCGGCCAGAGCGACGGAUGAUGACCGAUCGAUCGUUCUAGAGAGAGAGGAUUUGAGAAAGUAGAGAGAGAAAGGAAAAUGAGAAAAUGAGAGAAAUUUUUUUUUUUUACUUUUAUAAAAAACUGCAAGCCAAAAUAAUGCCAUUUCAUUAAAUGGUCAAAACCACGUCAUUUUGAGCUGAAAGAUUCGCACGUCAGCCCUUGACUCGACCCGAGGUCCACGCACUCGACUCGAUGACCCAUUUCACCUUUAGCUUCUGAUUGGUCUAACUGAACCGACAUCGAAUCACUAAAUGCUACCAGAUUGCCAGACCGUUAACCGGUUAAGUUCAGGUAAAAAAAUUUUUUUUUGAAUUUUUUAAAUAUUAUUUUUGUUAUUAAUAUUUAUGCAUGUUAAAAUGUUUAAAUUUGCUAGAAUAAUUUUUUUUAUAAUGUUAACAAAUAAAAAUAAAUAAUAAAAUAUAUAGUAAAAAUUUGUGAUAAUUUUGUUAUUUUUAAAAUAACUCUUAUAAAAUAAUAAAAAAUAAGAAAAAAUUUUUUUAUCCGACGAUGAGAUUCAAAGGUACUCCGAGUAGUGAUACCUACGAAAUCUCUAUGUGAAAAGAUUUUUUUUAAAUACUACCGAUGUAUUGGAGUAUGUAUAAAAAAUUUUCAAUACAAUAAAUUUUUUUUAUAAAAUAAUAAAUAAAAACUAAUUAAUAAAUUAAGAAUAGGUAAUAAAAAAUGACAAAAAGGAAAUUUUAUCCAACGAUGAGAUUUUAAAAGUAUUUCGAGUAGAGGUGCUUUAAAAAAAAUCCCUAGGUGAGAAAUUUUUUAAAUAUUAUCAGUGUAUUGGAAUAUUUAUAGAGAAUCUUCAAUAUAAUAAAAAUUUCUCUUUUUUAUUUUUAAUUAAAAAUAAUAAUAAAAUUUAAUAAAAUUUUUGAAUAAAAAAUAUAAAUGUGUGCAUCAACAUGCUAGCAUUCGCAUUGCAUGCACGAUAUAAAGGUUUUUUUUUAAAAUAAAUUUGAGCAUCCGAGGAUGAGAUUCUAAGGUAUUCUGAGAAACGAUUCCUAAGAAAUCUCUAGGUGAGAAAAAAUUCUUUCAAUGUUACCAACGUAUUGAAACAUUUUAAUAAUUAUUUCAAUAAAAAGGUUCUAAUUUAUUUUCCUCGAAUAAAAUUUGAAUAAUAAACUUUAAAAAUUUUUUCUAAUAAACGAAAAAAUCAAGAAAAUUAUUUUUCAAACACCGAAAAUGAGACUGUUUUUUUAUCAAAAUCAAAAGGAUAACACGUAGUUAAUUGGUACCGUUAUAAACAGGCGUUGUGGGGGUGCUAAUCCUUCCCCUCACAUAAUCGACUCCCAAACCCAGACUAUUUCGCAGACUAUUUCGUAGACCAUAAAAUUACUCUUUUAAUAAAUUUUAAUUAAUCUUAAAAUCUUAUUAAAAGGAUAAAUUUUAAUAGGUGACCAAUCUCACUUAGCCAAAAAAGAUUGGUGGCGAUUCCAUUUUUCGUUCUUUUAUUUUCGUUUCCAAAUUCGUCAGGCGACUCCAAAGCCGUUGCAACAACUUGGCGACUCCGCUGAGGAUGCUUUUUAUUUUCGAGAGUCAGGCCAAAAUUAACUACGUGUUAUCCUCAAAUUUUGGUUUAAAUAGUCCUAAUAGGUUUCUUAGAUUUUUAUUUUUCACUUUUAACAAAAAAAAAGUCAAGAAAAAAAAAUCAAAAAGAAAAAAAUUUCCCUUACGUUUCUUUUACUAUGCCUCUUGUGCUUUAUUUUUCUAUAUAUAUUACUCUUAAUAAAUUAGGAUAUAUUUGCGUAUACAAUGACAUAAUGCAUCUCAUGUAUAAGCUCUAUAUCUAAGCUACGUCCCUUGUAGAAGGAAGUAGAGUACCUAUACCCUCGUGAGGUGAUAACCUCUACAAUGACAAACGAAAUACUUCUACUCAAAUUGAACCAUUUUCGUUCAUAGCCUAUAAUGGGUGAAGAUCGGUGUCUCUCACUAGUCUAACAUGGACAACAAUGAGGAACAAUUUGGAAACCUUUAGACACGUGUAAAUCCAAACUCAGCAUGUAAUAAGCGUAGAAAAUUAGCCUUAGGUAGAAUAUCUCCACCUUCUUGUAAGAAAUACCUAAGAAUAAAAGUUGUGUGUAAUACAAAACAAAACAAAACAAAAGAAAUCUAAAAACUUACAAAAAAAUGUUUUUUCUCAAAUCGCAUCUUCACACUAACUAAAUUUUGUUUCAUUUUUUUUCCUUUUUGUAUUAAUCAUAUCAUAUAGUUCUGCAUUAAGAUAUAUGCUCUAGGACAUAUUUCUCCCAAGAAGUUUUCAUGGAUCCCAUAGAACUAUAGAUUUGUCGAUCCUCAGUUAGUGUCCCAUGUGAGCCAUAUAAUGAAGUAUAUGUUUGGUCGAAAAAAGCUCAACAAAAGAAUAAAGAUUGCUUGCCUAUUGGCUAUGUGUCUGAGUUACCCAAUAAGGUGCAUUUGGAUCUCACACAGAAUAAUUUAAAAGACUUAGCCACCAUCUAAGGUCAGUUAAGUGAAGAAAGGAAAGAAAGCUUUUGUAAGAAGUACAAAUAGAUUGCAUUCCUUAUUCUAGUAAUGAUCGAUAAACAGCUGAUUAAGGUAGCUAUACAGUUUUGGGAUCCAUCCUAUAGAUGCUUCAUUUUUAAUCAGGAAGAUUUGGUGUCAACUAUUGAGGAAUAUUCAAUUUUGCUUGGGAUAGAACUAUAAUGUCAAGAGAAAGUGUUUACCCAAAAGCUGAAAUCAGGUUAUCAUAAAAAGUUAGCCAAACUUAUAGGGGUUAAAGUAGAAAUCAUUAAUUCCUUCGCAAAGCCUAAAGGUGAACAUCUUGACAUCCAUUGGGACUUUAUCUGAAAUUGUAUUAAGGAGUAUUUAAAUGAUGAUCAAGGCAUUGAUGUGUUUGCUUUAGCAUUGUAUGGCAUGGGUAAUCUUUUCGAAGACUUUGGGUUACAUUAAGAUAACUGUGGUGAAUAUUUUUGAGCAAAUUGAAACCCAAGCAAUUAAUCUCGCACCAGUAGUCUUAGCAAAAACCAUCCGAUCAUUGAAUUUUUGUUGAAGAAAUGAAAACGGAUGGUUUAUAAGAUGUGCAUCGCUAUUUUAUGUAUGGGUUAGAAGUCAUUUCAAAUGUGAGAAGAAUGCAUUUUUAAAGUUGUAUCUUUAAAAUAAGACACCAAUCGAAGAAUUCUACAGAAGUCAAGGGCUGACAUUGAAGACCAAAUAAAAGUGGGUUUUAUUCUUGCGAAGGUUUACUGGGGAUGAAAUUGAAUGGAUGACACCUUGGAUGCCUCGGGUGCCCUUAUUGUAUUGUAAAGGAAACGAGCCAUGGAUACCGCUAUUAGGGCUAUGGGGUAUUGUAAGUUACGCUUCGUUGAUGGUGCUAAGGUAAUUUGGUGCAAAGCAGUUUGUUCCUGCCACUCAUGGUCUGGUUUAAGUAAAAUUCAUUUAUGGGAAACCGAAUCCAUAAAAAAUCUUAGAGCAAUUGACAAGGAUUUAAAUUGUGGUAACGGUCACGUUUUCGAUCGCAUCGUGUUUGUCAUGGUUGCGGAUAUAACGGAGACCUUUGCGGUCAUUGCGACUAUUGCGAUCGUGAAUUUUUUUAAAUUUUGCUCAACUUGCUAUAAAAAUAUAAUAAUUUUAAUUAUUAAUCAUAAAACCUUUUAUUUUAGGAUUUUUAAAGUAAUUUAUAUCAUAUCAUGUGUUUUAUUUAUUUAAGAAAAAAUAUUUAUAGUAAAAUAUUCAUAUUUAAAAAAUAUUUAUAUGAUAAUUAAAAAAUAAAAAGAGAUAAAUAAAUAUGUGAAAAAUAAAUAAUCAUAACAAAUAAUAUAUUUAAUUAUUUAAUUACCAUACUCAUCAAAUUAUUAUCGAACUAUAUUAUGCAUAAAUCAAAUAAUAAGUGAUUAAGUAUUCAUAAAUUAAGUAAGAGCAUUAUUAUUUAUGAGUCAAAAUAAUUGCUUUUUAUGAACUUACAGUAAAUCAAACUUGACAGCCUUCAUGUUAUGGUCAAUUUUCAACAAUAGUAACCCCAAGUCUACUUCUCUUAUCUUUUGACUAAAUUGCGCAAACCCAUACAACUUUUUAUCCCUUCACCUUUUAUUCAAUAAUUUUUUUUCUCCAAACCUUCAUCCUCAUCCCCAUCUCUCAGUUCUCUUUUUAUUUGGUGCGUGCUAUCUGCUUGCUUCUAUAAAUCUCAAGUUUCACUCUCAUCUCUUAUCUCUUAUUUUAAGUCCUAGUAACUCUUGCCUCCUUCUAUCAAUGUAACAUAGCCCAAUCUAAUCCCAAACACAUAAAAUCAUAGCAAAUUUGGAAAUUAAAAAAAAAAGAUAAUUUGAGUGUUGAAUUAAUUGUUUACGUUAAAUUACAUAUACUUGAUUUUGAUUGAAGUUGAACUUGAGAGAAUUGAUUUUUUUGAAAGUUUAAGUUUUAUGGGUUUUUUUUUUUUUUUUUUCUGAAUUUGUAAAUUGAUGUUUAUUUUCUUUCUUGUUGUUUUUAUUUUAAGUUUUUAAGCAAAAUCAAAUGAUUUUUUUUUUAAAUUUUUGAAUGAAAAUAGGAAUAGCGGCAAUAGCGGUAAUAGCGGGUAAUAGUGGUAAUAGCGGGCAAUAGCAGACCGCUAUUACCGCUAUUCGUCGUUAUACCGCAAUUCACGAUCGCGAUUCAUCCACUAUAGACAAGAUUCAAAUUUUCUCUUAUUUUUUCUUCAAUAACGGUGACGGAUAGUGGCGCGAUCGUGAAAUAAUGGUCACGACAUCGCUAUUCGACCGCUAUUUGAAUCCUUGGCAGUUGAUCCAAGUAUGGAAGAGAACACGAAGAAUGAGGUUAGAGCCUCUCAUCGAUAAAGUCACCAUUGAUUAUCAAAUUUGGAAGGUAAAACAGAUUAGAAAUGUAAUACUCUCUCUUGAUGACAGCUCAUAUCAAUCAAUUAAUCUUUCAGAAGAGGUGCAAUUAUCAGAAGUUAAGCUUGUUAAGAAAGAAUUAUAAGCUGAAAAAGAAGAAAUAAGAAGAGAAAAAUUGAGACUUUGUGAGAAUGUGGGAUAACUGAAGUAUGAAACAGAGAUACAAAAGAGCAUAUAAGAAAAAACCUUAAAAGAAUGAGAUGUGGCCAAUAAUGAUUUGAAAGAUCUGCAUAAAGAAAAUAAAAGGUUACAAGUCCAAUUCAAGACUGGAAAUGUCACUAAGUCUUACCUUAGUUGGCAACGUGAAAUGGAUAAGCUCUGAGAAAAAAUGAACUAAUUGAAGGGUAAAGCUCAAGAAAAGCAUGAUGAGAUUACCAAAAUUUCUCAAAAAUGUCAAAAUUGGAAGGGGUUAUACUCUACAACCUGAGCAAGAUUGAUGGAAUGCCAAAAAAAAAAGAAAGGUUGAAAGCCAUGCUUGCAAAAGAGAGAAGAAAGCACUUUGAAGUACUGAAUGAAAAAGAAUCACUUCACUAGGUGAUCCAAGGGUUAGAGAUGCAACUACGAGACCACAAGAGCCAUAUGUCAGUAAUAAUAGAUGAGUGGCAUAGAAGAAAAAAAGAUUGAAUCUUCACAUAUGAUUCAAAAAGAGAUGCUCACAUGAUAUGGAAAACAAAAAGCUUAGAGAGGCAAUAGUACAUAGAGUACCUGACUAAUCAAGUUUGCAAGGCAGUGAAAAAAGCAUGAAAUGGUUGAAAAGGUAGAAGUAUUAAGAAAAGAAGUCAAUCCCAUAAGAGAAUAUGGAUAGCACCUAAUGAAACUUUCUAGAUGAGGUGAAGGACUAUUAUGAACAAGUCAAACACUUUUAUGGAUAUAAUUCUAGGAUGGUAAAUCUCAUGUAAUAAAAGUUGUAUGGAAUCAAUAAAAAUUUUUAGUGUUGAAAUUCAUCCAAGAGCAAAUAUCUCCCACUUGCAUUCAUGAAUCAUGUACAUCAUUUUCAAAAAUAAAAUUUUCAACACAUAACAUUUUGAUUGUUUUCUCUUUUUCAAAAAAAAACUUUGUGGUAAUAAUGGUUUAAGAAUAGCUCGUCCAUAAAAAAUUUUGACCCAACCUACUUGUAAUUCAUACAAUACUAAGACUCAAAUAAGAAUCAUGGAGUAAGAACAGGUCAGUCGAUUUGAUAAAAUUAAGAAAGUUCAAGAACUAAAAGGGGAUCUCGGUACAAUAAUGGAUAUGCUCAAGAAACUUGACAAGAGAAAAGUAGUUGAAAAAAAUCUUAGCUUUCAAGAGUAAUCAUCAGAUACGGUAGAUCUUAUUUACCUUCUAGGGUUUGAGCCAUGACUUUUUGUACAAAUUCUUACUUCCGAUAGAUAUCUCAAUCUUUAUCCAAGAAUGACAUCCACAUUUGUUCCAAGAUAAUUUCAAAAUUUUAUUAAUCCCGUUAUGAUGGAAAAAUCACUUGAGCCAAUUUUAGUUCCUCAUUUGAAUGAUCCCAAAGAGAGAGAAAAGCUAAGGAUAAAGAUACUUGAAAAAGUGAAAGAUACCAGUGCUCGAGAGAAGAUAAAGUUAUUGGAAGAAAGGCUUAGGGCCGUAGAAAGAAUGAAUUUUUAUGGCUCCAAGGAUGCAGCUGACCUUUUGUUUAGUCCCAGAUGUGGUCAUUCCAUCAAAAUUUAAGGUUCCUGAAUUUAAAAAAUAUAAUAGCACAAAAUGCCCAAUGACUCAUAUCACCAUGUAUUGUCAUAAAAUGGCAGCACAUGCUCGUGACGAGAAGUUGUUGAUGCACGUAUUUUAAGAUAGCCUUACGAGAUCUGUAAUCAGAUAGUAUGUUCAACUAGACAUGACUCGUAUUCAUUCCUGACAAGAGCUCAUAAGGGCAUUUCUUACACAAUAUCAACAUGUUAGGGAUCUAGCUCCAGAUCGUCUAUCUUUACAAGGUAUGAAAAAAAAAACAACUGAUAGCUUCAAAGAAUAUGUAUAAAGAUAGAGAGAUAUGACUGCACAAGUACAACCUUCCUUCACUAAGAAAGAAACAACUGUUUUAUUUAUGAACAUCCUAAAAGCACCAUACUAUGAAAGACUGAUAGGCAAUGUAACCAAGAACUUUACAGAUAUGGUGAUAUCAGGUGAGAUCAUUAAAAACAUCAUAAAAAUGGCAAGCUCGAUGCAAGAGAGACAAAUGGAGCAAAGAAAGGUGAAGCUCUUAAAAAAAAGAGAAUGAAGCUCAAACGAUGAACUAUAUGGGGUAACAGUUCAGAGGUUUCACAUUCUACCCUGCACUAAUCUACCAAACCAUUACCUCCUAUAAAUAAUAUUACAUCCACUCCUCAUCCAUAUCAGCCAUACCAGCUAUUACCACAACCAGCGUAUCCACCCCAGUUUCAAUCAUCCUUUCGGAUACCCACCUAUUCUUACAACCGUCCUAUUGCACCUACAAUACCAGAACGAAGACUUUGUUCAAAUAGUGGUCCGAGAGCUUCAAGAAAUAUCCAAUAAAAACUCAUUUUUAACCCUAUUCUCAUGACAUAUACUGAUUUAUACCCUUAGCUUAUUGAGAAACAUUUACUAGCCCCUAUUAUUAUUGAGCCUUUGAAACCUCUAUUUCUUAAAUGAUAUGAUCUUAAUGCGCAUUGUGAUUAUCACUAUAGGAACCCGGGUCAUUCCAUUGAAAACUAUACUGUUUUGAAACAUAAAAUGUAAGGGUUAAUCAAUGAUGUGGUGUUAAAUUUUGAAACCAGCCAACGAGAAACUUCAAAUGUUAAUGGAAACCUCUACCGAAUCAUACUAUACCAUCAAUAAAUGCUUUAAUUGAUGGGUAAGCAAGCUAUGUGAAAAAAUGAUAGAGAAAGUUAAAACUCGGAUGGCUAAGGUGUUUGAAGCCUUGGUUAUGGUUGAUACGUUAAGAUCAAUAGAACUUUAGCAUUACUCUAAAGCAAUUAAUCCUACUGAAAGUUAUAAUUAUCGUAAAGGUGCUUUGGGACAUUCUAUCAAGAGUUGUCAUCAAUUUUAUCAAGAAGUACAAAAGUUGAUGGAUAUGGGUCGGAUAGAGUUUUACGAAGAAAGAGAAAGGUUGACGAAAGUUAAAGUGUCUACCAUUGAUUCAAAGAAUAAGUUUAUGCGUAGACCAAUAAUAAUUUAUUAUGAUGAGAAGUCAACAUCGAGGCCAGAAAAACCUACCUUCCGACCAAUAGUGAUAAUUAAACUUUCUAGCCUUUUUUCAUACCAGAAUGAUAAAGCAGUAUUGUGGAAGUAUGAUUGUGAUGUCGUUGUCAACCCAAAUACUGCGAACAUAAUGGGCGUAGGAGGUAUGACUCAAAGUGGAAGAUGUUAUACUUUAGAAGCUUUAGAGAAAGCUAAAAAAGAGAAAGCAAAGGUGGGAAAAGAAGAGGAAAGUCAAAAUAAUCUCGCUGCAGUCUCAGAAAAAAAAUGUCAGAAGUUGGUCUCUGAGCGUGAAGCUUGUGAAUUCUUAAAGCUAAUAAAAUAUAGCAAGUAUAGCAUGGUAACAACUGAACAAGAUGCCAGCUACGAUUUCACUAUUUUUAUUAUUGCUUAGUUCAGAGUCGCACCAUAAUAUUUUGUUAAAAGUGCUAAAUCAAGCAUAUGUGUCUCACAAUGCUUUUGUUGAAUUUGCGGAACAACUUCUAGGUAAUCUGAUAAUUUCAAAUUAUAUCUCUUUCAGUGAUAAAGGGAUCCCUCCUGAAGGUCAAAAAGUACCAAGGCUCUCCACAUUAUUGUAAAGUGCAAGUGUCAUAUAAUGGCUAAGGUUUUGAUCAAUAAUGGCUCAUUCAUCAAUAUUAUGCCUAUGACUACUCUGGCAAAACUCCCUGUUAAUGGAUCUUAUAUGAAACCUAAUCAUAUGAUAGUCCGAGUCUUUGAUAAGACCCGAAAAGAGGUGUUAAAAGAUAUAGAAAUACCAUUAUAGAUUGGCCUGUGCACUUUAAACGUGAAAUUCCAAGUUAUAGAUAUCUCUCCCUCGUAGAGAAGGUAAAAAAACCCGUAACCGAUGGGUUUCAACUCGACCCGACAUUUUAGGGUCAAUUUUUUUUUUUUGAAAAUCGAGUAUCGGGUCGGGUGGCAUGAAGAGAAAGUCAGGGUCGGGUUUUAGGCAAACCCGACCCGACCCGACCCGAUAUAUAUAUAAAAAUAAUUUUUUAAAUUAUUUAUUUAAUUUUAUAAUUAUUUUUAUAUAUUUUUAUAUAUUUUUAAUUUUAUAUUUAUAUUAAAAUAAUAUUUUAUUAAUUUCGGGUCGGGUCAGAUUGGAUAUGAUUUUAUAUAAUGUCGGAUCGGAUCGGGUCGGGUUUGGGUUUUUCAUGUUUAAAGUCAGGUCGAGUUCGGGACGAGCAAAAACCUGCCUCAACCUGACCCAUUGCCAUCCCUACUCCAUCGUACAGUUGCUUAUUGGACAGGUCAUGGAUUCAUAUGGCACGUGUUAUUCUAUCCUCAUUGUAUCAGAAAGUCAAAUUCAUUAUUGAUAGAAAAUUGACAUGUAUGGUAGGAGAAAAAAAUUUAUUGGUCACCCAACCAGUAAAUAUUCCUUAUGUAAAAGCAGCAAAUGAAGCCUUAGAGUGCUUAUAUAGAUUUUUUGAGAUUGCUAAUGCAACACAUAUGGCUGAAGGAUCUAAAUUAUAUUCAUCACACAUGUCUAUGACUUCUAAAAUGGUCGUUAAAUAGCUUACUAGAAUGGGAUGGCAACCUGAAAUUGGACUAGAAAAGAACCGACAAGGAAUCAUAGAGCCACCAACAGUAUAUGACAAGAAAAACAUAUUCGACUUAAGAUAUAAGCCAACAAAAAGGGACAAAAUGAAAAUGGUGAAUGAGAAAAAACAUAUGAGAGUGGCUAAUCUUGGAGGAUAUGAGCUAGAGUCAGAGCCCAUGAUCAUUCCUUACCUCUAUGAUUCUUUUUCGUUCGGAAGGAUAUAUCUAGCUAGAUUUACUUAAAAGUCUGAAUACAAAAUUUGUGAAAGAGUUUUCAGAGCUAGCCAUUCAAAUGGUGGAUGAUGAAGAAAAGAAGAGACGAGAUGAAGAGCUAUUCAUGCACCAUUGUCUUUCAGAUUUUGAGCUAAAUAACUGAAGAGUCAUAGAACUGCCUGUUAUCUUUAAAACUUCUAAAAAGUAAUGUAUUGUGAAACUUUACAUCCCUAAUUGCUUUUAUAAGCAUUGGGUGAUCUUUUGUGGUGUCUUUAUAUUUGUCAUUUUAAUAAAAGACUUAAAAGAUGCAUCUAUAUUUCUUCUAUUAUUUUCAUCUUUAUUUUGCUUUUCAUUUUUUUUCAUCAUUUUCUUACCAUUCCAUUUUUGUGUGCCAAUAUUCUUUUUAUCUUACCCUUUGCAGGGUCUCAAAUAAUGAACACAAAGAUAAUCAGGGCAAUAAUCUCGAAUUUGAUUUCAAAAUCUUAAUUCAUGUUGAUAAACUUAAUAAUGAGAAAGAUUCAGAUAACUACACACUACCUUUUGAUUUGUUAAAAUUAAUAGAACAUGAAGAUAAGCCAAUUGAACCCUACCAAAAAAUUAUCAAAUUAGUGACUUUGAGAGACGGUGAAAACAAAAGAGAGGUCAAAGUUGGUAUAUCCCUUUUAACAGCUGAAAGGUAAAAGUUAAAAGAAUUACUCCGAGAAUAUGUAGAUGUGUUUCAUGGUCUUACCAGGAUAUAUCAAGACUUAGCAUUGAUAUUUUAAAGCACAGGUUGCCUUUGAAACCAAAAUGCAAGCUGAUGCAACAAAAGCUAAGGCGUAUGAAGUUGAAGAUGUUGCUGAAAAUUACAGAAGAAGUGAAGAAGCAAUUUGAUGCUGAAUUUUUUAAGGUGAUAAAAUAUCCCGAAUUGGUAGCCAACAUAGUGUCAAUUUCCAAGAAGGAUAAAAAAGUGAGAAUGUGUGUCGAUUAUCGAGAUCUGAAUAAGGUAAGCCCUAAAGAUAACUUUUCUCUACCCCAUAUUGAUACUUUAGUAGAUAAUACUGCUAGACACUUAACAUUUUCCUUUAUGAAUGGCUUCUUAGGCUAUAAUCAAAUCAAGAUAACCCAAGAUGAUAUGGAAAAAACCAUAUUCAUGACCAUGUAGGGGAUAUUCUAUUACAAAGUCAUGCCUUUUGGGUUGAAAAAUGCUAGUGCCACUUAUCAAAGAGCAAUGGUGUAUUUUUUUUAUGACAUGAUGCAUAAAGAGAUAAAAGUAUAUGUGGAUGAUAUGAUUGCAAAAUCUCAUGAAAUAGAAGAUCAUGUAGUCAAUCUAAAAAAGUUAUUUGAUAGGUUGAGAAGAUUUCAGCUGAAGUUAAAUCCUGCUAAAUGUACAUUCGGUGUCAAAUAAAAAAAACUACUAGGAUUUGUGGUUAGUGAAAGAAGAAUCGAAGUAGACCCGAAUAAGAUACAAGCCAUCCAUAAUUUAUCUCUUUCAAGUACUUCAAAAGAAGUGUGAAGUUUCCUAGGGAGAUUGAACUAUAUUGCUCGCUUCAUCUUUCAACUCACCUACAAGUGCAAUCUUAUUUUCAAGCUUCUUAAAAAAUAUGAUCUAAAAGAAUUGAAUGAGAAAUGUCAAGAAGCUUUUGAUAAGAUCAAAGAAUACUUGUUAAAUCCACCUGUGUUGGUGCCACCAAUCCUGAGAAAACCUUUGAUUUUGUACUUAACAGUGCACAAAAAUUCAAUAGGAUGUGUGUCAGGGCAAAGAGAUAAAAAUGAUAGGAAAGAAUGAGCAAUUUACUACUUGAGCAAGAAAUUAACUAAUUACUAGUCAAAGUAUUCACUAUUAGAGAAGAUAUGUUAUGCAUUGGCUUAGACAGCUCAAAGGCUCUGACAAUACAUGCUUUAUCAUACUACUUGACUCAUAGUAAAGUUGGAUCCCAUUAAGUACAUCUUCGAGAAGCCCUUAUUGACAAGAAGGAUAGUUUAGUGGCAAGACAUGCUUUUAGAAUAUGAUAUUAUUUAUGUAACUCAAAAGGCUAUUAAAGAAAGUGUAGUAACUGAGUUCUUUACCGAUCACACUGUUGAAAAUUAUGAACCAAUGAACCUAAAUUUUCCUGAUAAAGAUGUGAUGGCUAUUGAAGAAAAUGAACCUAUUGAAGAGUCUUGGAAAAUGUAUUUUAAUGGAACCAUAAAUGUUUUAAGCCAUGGUAUUAGAGCAAUCUUAAUAUCUCUCGAUGGGUAUUAUUAUCCCAUCACAGCCAGGUUGAAUUUUAAUUGCACAAAUAAUGUAGCUAAAAAUGAAGCCUGUGUUAUAGCUUUGCAAGCAAUAGUUGAAAAAAAAAUCAAAGUGUUAAAUGUAUUUGGAGAUUCAACUUUAGUCAUCUAUCAGUUACGAGAAGAAUGAGAAACAAGAGAUUCCAAGUUGAUUUGAUACCAUAAAUACAUCUUUGAGUUGAUCAAACUAUUCAAAGAAGCUCAAUUUAUGCAUCUACCUAGAGAAGAGAACCAAAUCGCUAAUGCACUGGCUACCCUAACUGCAAUGAUUAAAAUAUAUGCAAAUAUUAAAAUCCAACCCAUCAAACUGGAGGUGAAGGAUGAACCAGUACAUUGUUCAGGUGUCGAAGAAGAAAUUGAUGGGAAGCCAUGGUAUCAUGACAUUAUGCAAUACAUUAAAAGCCAACAAUACCCAAAACAUGUAACAAAAAACGAUAAGAGGACUAUCAAAAGAUUGGCUAUAAGUUUUUUCUUAGAUGGAGAUAUCCUCUAUAAAAAAGGUCGAGAUCAAAUACUUUUAAUAUGUGUGAAUGUAGCUAAAGCAAAAAGGAUUAUUGAAGAAGUACAUGAAAGAAUUUGUGAGGCACAUAUAAAUGGUCAUAUGAUGGCAAGGCAAAUUAUGAGGGCCGGUUACUAUUGGUUGACAAUGAAGAGUGACUGUAUUAAUUAUGCUAGAAAAUGCCAUAAGUGUCAGAUUUAUACUGACAAGAUCUAUGCUUCUUUAAUAACAUUGCACGUUUUGGCUCUUUCAUGGCCAUUCUCUAUGUAGGGCAUGGAUUUUAUCGGUCCCAUUACUCUACAAGCUUCGAACGGGCAUAGAUUCAUCUUUGUGAUGAUUGAUUACUUCACCAAAUGGGUAAAAGCUGCAUCAUAUGCUAGCGUGACCCGAUCUGUGAUAUACAAGUUCAUAAAAAAUGAGAUAAUAUACAGAUAUAGGCUUUUAGAGAUAAUUAUUUUUUAUAAUGCCAAAAACUUGAACAACAAAAUGAUUAAUGAAGUGUGCACUCAAUUCAAGAUCCAUUAUCAUAAUUUGGCAUCAUAUCGUCCAAAGAUGAAUGGAGCAGUAGAGGCUGCAAACAAGAAUAUCAAAAGAAUAUUGGAGAAAAUGAUUGAUACCUAUAAGGAUUAACAUAAGAAGUUAUUUUUUGCUUUGCAUGCUUAUAGAACAUCAGUCUCAACAUUUACUAGGGCCAUCCCGUUCUCUUCGGUAUAUGGAAUGGAAGUUGUGUUACCAGUCAAAGUGAAAAUUCCUUCAUUGAGAGUCCUGAUAGAGUUAGAGUUAGAGGAAGCAGAAUAGGUUUAAAAUCGCUAUGAACAAUUGAACCUCAGUGAAGAGAAAAGACUUACAGCACUUUGUGAUGGUCAAUUAUAUCAAAAGAAGAUAAUGAAAGCAUAUGACAAGAGAAUCCAUCAUCGUUGCUUUAGGGAAGAAGAUUUAGUGCUAAAAAAGAUCCUUCCAAAUCAACAUGACAAUCGAAAAAAAUGGACACCAAAUUAAAAUGGCCCGUACGUGAUGAAAAAAGGCUUUUUCUAGUGAGGCAUUGAUUUUAAUAGAGAUGGAUGAAGGUGAUUUACCUACUUUGAUAAAUUUAGAUGUUAUAAAGAAAUAUUUUGCUUAAAAAAAAGUAAAAACAAAAAGUGGAAAAGAAUGAUGUAUCUAAGCUGAAAACCUAAAAACUGUGGCUUGGAUGCAAAGGAAAAGCAUCAUCCCACAACACAAGGGCAAGUAUAGUUUGACGAACUUUGAAGUAUCAAGGAAGUCAUUUGAUUUAGUUUUAGAAAAAGAAUCUGAGAAUAUUUUGUUCAUGAUUAUCUCAUGAUCAUUAUUUGGACACCUUUGUUUCGACUCAAACACUUUUGUUGUAAUGCACUUAUUAUCAGUCUAAUGAAAUAUGCUAUCUUUCUUUUGAAAAUAAUGCCUAUCCAUUCCUUUUUUCUCAUUUGAUAUUUUUGUUCACUGUACAAAUAAGAAAAAUGUGUGAUUACAUUUUGUUUGUCUUUAACUUAAAAUGAUGAAAAGGAAAACAAACAUGAAAGAUCUUAGCAUUACUUUUUAAAAGUUGACAAAAACAGAUGAGAAAGGAUGAGAAAUGCAUGACAAGACAUUAAUGUUGCAAAUUUUUGAAGAAAAAAAGUGUUGUUAGGGAAGAAUACAAUGUUCAGAUGUUAAAAACAGAUUGGUCAUAUGCAAUUGUUCAAGAACCUUUUUACUAUAAUGAACAAUUUUGAUUGCAUUACAUGCAUUGCAUUUAGAGCACUCAGUACAUGCAUUCAUGAGCAGCUAUAAUAAGGACAAAGACUUUCCAUUUCCUAAUGAAAAAUAAGAUUUUGAUAUUUGGAUAAAGAUAAUAAUCAAACAAAAGAUUUCAAAAAAGAGAAAUUUACUUGUUCAAAGAUGAAAACUCGAUUUCGAGAACAGAUGAGAUUUUUUAAAGUUGUUGAGCCUCUACUAAGAAGAGCUUUUUUAAGAUAAAAUUUUAAAGUUGUUGAGCCUCUGCUGAGAGGAGCCUUUUUCAAGAUGAAAUUUUUAAAGUUGUUGAGCUUCUACUUAGAAGAGCUUUUCCAGAUAAGAUUUUUAAAAUUGUUGAACCUCUGUUGAAAAGAGUUUUUUUUCAAGAUAGAAUUUUAAAGUUGUUACACCUCUACUGAGAUGAGCUUUUUCAAGAUAAAAUUUUAAAAUUUUUAAGCCUCUACUGAUAUGAGCUUUUUUCAAGAUAAAUCUUUAAAAUUGUUGAGCCUCUGCUGAGAGAAGCCUUUUUUAAGAUGAAAAUUUUAAAGUUAUUGAGCUUCUAUUGAGAUGAGCUUUUUUUCAAAAUGAGAAUUUUUUUUUAAGUUAUUAAUCUUCUAUUAAGAGGAACUUUUUUUAGAUUUUAAAUUUUCAAAAGUUGUCGAGCCUCAAGUGAGAGGAGCAUUUUUUAUUUGAUGAGAAAAAGUUUUUGAGUAGUUUAAGUUUAAAAAAAAAAUCUAUUUGGAUUCCAGACAAAAUUGUUGUAUUUGUCUUUGCCUUUGCCCUAUUCCUGAUUCUCAACAAUGCGCAAAGAGAGGCAGCUAUAGACAUCAAAUUUGUCCAGAUAUUAAUCAUGUCCCGAUUGAAUAUUUAUUAGAUAUCGGGUUCUCGAACUAAGUUUUGAUUACAAUUCAAUUAGGCUGAGGCCCAAUUUCAAUUCGACUGGGUUUUAGGCUCGAUUUCAAAUCAAAUAGACCUGACUUUGAUUGGGUCCAAAGUCCAAUUUCGUUUUUAAGCCCAAAGCCUAUUUGUUUUUUAUUUUAUUUAUUUAUUAAUUAAACAAAAAUACAAAAUACAAAAAUAUAAAAAUACAAAAAAAUAAAAAAAUAAAAAAAAGGCUGAUGACAGUGGUGCCUUGUAAGGCACCACUGGCCACCCACCCCUCUGAUCACCUAUACCCUACAAACCUUAUCCAUCCUAUCAAUACUCCUGAACCCCCAUGCCAUAGCCCCAUGCCCAAUCAAUUCUAGAUCUCUACAAAAACUAGUUUGAAAACCUAAAAGCUUAGAGAGAGAAGAUUGGAGGCAUUCCCUCUUCUAUGCCCAGACAUUGCUCUAGAACUCAUCAAAAACCCCAGUCACACAGCCCUCGAACACCUAGAAACUCUAAGUCUCUCUCACCCAGAACCCCUAAACUCUCACACCCAAAUGAUCUAGUCCCUACCCUCCCAGAAAACCAGGCCUCCACACACCCUGCCAAGUACCUUCGACUCAAACCAAUCCCCCCACCUAUCAAAAAACUAAAAAACCCGAAACACCCAGCCACAAUUAAAAAACAAAAAUAAUUCAUAAAAAAAAACAAACAGCAGUCCUCCAAUAGGGAGGAACCUAGCGUCGAGAGCUCCCUGUGAACAAAAAAAAAAGAAAAGUCAAUAAGAAAAAAAAAUAUCGAAAGUCAAAAAUAAUAAAAAAAAGGUUUGGCCAAAACUUUGAAAGUCAAUCUAGGCCAUUUGGCACACUUUCAGGUGAAACCAAGCUCAGAUUUGUGCUCAAGCGACAAAAGUGAGUUUUUUAAGAGUUUUUGAGAUUUUUCGGUGGUCGACAACAGGCGAUUGGUGGCCGACCACCACCGAUGGCAGCUGGAGCGACGGACGAUAAUUGGUCGACCAUUUUAGAAAAAGAGGGUCUGAGAGUGUAGAGAGAGAGGGAGAAGAGAAAAUGAGAGAAAUUUUUUUUUUGACUUUUAUAGAAAUCUAAAAACCAAAAUGACGUCGUUUCAUUAAAGGGUCAAAACGAUGUCGUUUUGAGCCGAAAGAUCUACAUGUCAGCCCUUGACUAAACCUGAGGUCCGUGCAAUCGACCCGAUGACCCAUUUCACCUUUAGCUUCUAACCGGUUUAACUGAAUUGGCACCAAAUGGCUAAACCAGAGCCAGAUCGACCCCGAACCGUUGAACGCGACCAGACUAUUGGACCAACGUUAAUCGGUCCGAUUUAGGUAAAAAAAAUUAUUUUUUUGAAUUUUUUUUAUUCUUUUUAAAUAUUAUUUUUAUUAUUUUAAAUUUGUUAUUAAUAUUUAUGUAUGUUAAAAUGAUUAAAUUUGUUAGAAUAAAUUUUUGUUAUUUAUAAUAUUAACAAAUAAAAAUAAAUAAUGAAAUAUAUAGUAAAAAUUUGUGAUAAUUUUGUUAUUUUUAAAAUAACUCUUAUAAAAUAAGAAAAAAUAAGAAAAAAGAAAUUUUUAUCUGACGAUGAGAUUCGAAAGUACUCCGAGUAGUGAUACUUACGAAAUCUCUAGGUGAAAAUUUUUUUUUUUAAAUACUACUAGUGUAUUGGAGUAUUUAUAAAAAAUUUUCAAUACAAUAAAAUUUUUCUUUUUUUCUUAUAAAAUAAUAAAUAAAAACUAAUUAAUAAAUUAAGAAUAGGUAAUAAAAAAUGAGAAAAGGAAAAUUUUAUCCAUUGAUAGGAUUCUAAAAGUAUUCCGAGUAUAGAUGCUUUAAAAAAAAUCUCUAUGUGAGAAGAUUUUUUAAAUGUUAUCAGUAUAUUGAAAUAUUUAUAGAGAAUCUUCAAUACAAUAAAAAUUUCUCUCUUUUUAUUUUUUAAUUGAAAAUAAUAAUAAAUAUUAAUAAAAAUUAAUAAAAUUUUUGAAUAAAAAAUAUAAAUGCGUGCAUCAACAUGCUAGCAUUCGCAUUGCAUGCACGAUAUAAAGUUUUCUUUUUGAAAAAUAAAUUCAAGUGUCUGAGGAUAAGAUUCUAAUGUAUUUCGAAAAGCAAUGCCUAAAAAAUCUUUAGGUAAGAAAGAGUUCUUUUAAUGUUACCAACAUAUUGGAACAUUUUAAGAAUUAUUUCAAUAAAAAGAUUCUAAUUUAUUUUAAUUGAAUAAAAUUUGAAUAAUAAACUUUUUAAAAAAAUUUCUAAUAAAUGAAAAAGUCAAGAAAAUUAUUUUUGCAAACACCGAAAAUAAAACUAUUUUUUUAUCAAAAUCAAAGGAUAACACGUAGUUAAUUGGUACUGUUAUAAACAGGCGCUGUGGGGGUGCUAAUCAUUUCUCAUGCGUAACUGACUCCUGAAUCCAAACUGUUUCGCAGAUCAUAAAAUUACUCUUUUAAUAAAUUUUAAUUAAUCUUAAAAUUUUAUUAGAAUGAUAAAUUUUAAAAAGUGAUCAAUCGCACCUAACAAAAAAAAUGGUGGCGACUUCGUUUUUCGUUCUUUUAUUUUCGUUUUCAAAUUCGUCAAGUGAUUCCAAAACUAUUACGACAAUUAGUGCUAUUUUUAUUGAAUUGUUUUUGUCUUAAAUUUUGUAUUUCCUCACAUGAUAUACAUAGUUAUUGAAUUAAUUCACAAAUGAUCUAUUAAUUCAUGAGUGAGUAAAUUAAUUCACAAAUGAAAUAUUAUAAUUAUAAUUAAAAUAAUAAUUAUAUGCUAUAUUAGGGAAUACAAAUAUUUAUUGGGUAACUUGGCUGUCCAUAUGGGCCACAAAUUUCUAGCCUACUUUGACAAGAACAGGAUGAAUUAUCAUUGAUGUCAUUUUUUUCUAUUGUAAUUAAGAAUGUUUUCCUAAUUUCAACUAAAAAAAUUGCAGGCCAUGUCUUUGUAAUUUUGUUUCAAUGCAUACUUAAUUAAAUUUUGGAGGGGAAUGUAGAAAUCAAAAUAAUUUUGAAUAGAUGUCUAAAUUUGGACCUAAUUAACCAUUGCAAGGUUUUUCAAAAAAAAUACAUCUUGGUUUUUUUUUUUUUAAUUUUUUGGAGUAUCUUUAACAUCGAAAGCGAUGUAAUGAUUAUAUAAUUAUAUUUAAAUAAUAAAUAAUUUCAUAAUCGUACAUGAGUGAUUUUAAAUUAUUAAUAAUAAUUAAAUAUUCUUUUAUAUGAUAAUCUAAUUGUCAUUAAACAAAAAGAAAAUUUUAUCAUCAAAGAGAGAAUGAUUUUCAAAAUCAUUUUAAGAUAAAUUUAUUUUUGAAUUGGUAUCCAUCAAAAAAUGUUUCUCUGUAAAUUUUUUUGAAAAACAAACUUUCACUUUUUAAAUCAUUUUAUACAAGACAAUUUAUAAGACUUUAAAUAUGAACAUGCUAAUAAUUUUGAAUUAUACUCAUCAGAACUUAUUUAUACUUUAUAAUUUUUUUUAAAGAGUAUAAAAGUCCUUGAACUAUAAUUAAAAAAUCAUUCCAACCUUUAUUUUUUAUUAUAAUCAAUUAAUUCUUUCAACAUUUAUUUGCAUUUAAUUGAAUUUUAUUUGGAUAAAAAAGUUUUAUUAAUUUUUUUUUGUUAACUAAAAUAAAAUUUCACGUGAAAUUUAUAAAAUAGAUGAAAAGUUAUUACAAAACAUAAUUAUUAUAUUUAAAAAUUAAAUAAAAUAAUUUUUUCUCUAUUUUCUUUGUUUUUUUCUCUCUAAAAUUUUCAUAAAAAAAUUAAUUGAUUAUAAUUCAAAAAUUAAUUAUUUAAAUUUUAUUGCGUAAUUAGAUUUUAUAAAUUUAAAAAUUCAAUUUUUAACUGAGUCAGUAAUAAGAUUUAGUUCAAAGUUAAUCCCGGCUGAUAUUUAGGAUUUCUGUCAGCACCUUUACUUGGUGUGGAUGUUCCGUAAAGAAGCGUGGGGGUAUGGCUGUAUAUGUCAAGCAUCUUUGGUUUUGGGUAUGCAGAGUAUUGGUUUUAGUGAUAGGGUUUUUUAUGCCUCUGGAUGUUUUGGGAAUUGGAAAUGUUCUUUUGUUGUUUGGUUGAAAGAUAUAAUGGUGGAGCUCUUGUUUGUGCUUUUUGAAUAGUACUAUGAGUUUGAACUAUUGAAUGGUACUAUAAGUUUGAACUAUAUUAAAGUAUCUUCUUUUCCUUCUUGGGUGGGGUUCAAUCUGAGGCCGAAUCCUACCUCUCUGACUUAAUUAUAAGCCGGGAAUAUUAGAGUAUAACCUAGUUUUUCGAAUUCCAUCAGGAUUCAAGAUACAUUAUUUGGUAAAUUUUAUAGGCAUCAUCCACAGUUUUCUACCUAAAAUCCUUCUUGCAAUCCACUGUUUCUACUGUAAAGGAUGAUUUCCAAGGGCCAUUAUCAGAUUGCCAGAAUUUGAUUCCUGGCAAAUGAAGGACUAAAGGAGACAAACUUUUGUGGAUGGGUAUUUAGCUACAGGAAAAUUUUGACAUGACCAUACAACAUUGCUACUUUUUUUUUAUAUAUCUUCAACAAUGAAACAGCUAAUAUAAUGUUAAAUCUCCUUUUCUGGGGCUUUUUUGGAUGAAUGUAUAUUCUUAUUGUUUCCUCUCAAAACCCUGCAUUAUUAUUUUUCUUUUAUUAUUAAAAAUCUGAAUCUGUUUUGCCUCGUGAUAUUUGAUUGUUUGUCCUGUGUAGAGACGGAUGCGGGAGUGGUUGACGUUGCUUCUUUAAGUGAUGAAGAAUGGAAAAUGAAGCUUACACCUGAACAAUUUUACAUUACUCGACAACAAGGGACUGAGAGAGCUUUCACUCAGUAUGUUCUGUUCAUAGAAACUGUACUGCUUUUCCAGGUUCAACUUCUGAAAAUGCCUUUUUCUUUGUAAGAUAAUGGUUUUAACUAUUUUCUAAGGAUUCCACUAGUCUGGGAGAUUACAGUUUCUGUGUAUUUUCUUUGCCGAGCUAUAAGAAUUUCUUUCUAGUACUGAUCUACUUGACUGCCCUUUUUUUGGUCUCCUGAAGGUCGUUUUUAGUUGUCCCACCUAUGCAGGUGUCCUAAUUUAAAUACAACAUGUACGUCAGAAUCUAAUUUCUCCUACUUUUCUCUCAUUUGAUGAAUGACUUCAACCUUUUAAUGAUGUUAAUCCUUCUUUUCUCCCUACAAAGUGGGUGGCAAACACUAGUAGAUUGUGCAGACACAUGCAUGUGAGCAUUUUUCCUAUUAUCGGCGCAAAUUAAACGGAGUACCAGAGAGUUUGUUGCUAAAUUUCAUCUUUUUUGAAUAGGAAGAUUACAUGGUAUGUACUUGAGCUGACUUGGUUAUUAAGCUGCUUUUGACGUCACUGGUGAUUUAUUCUUUAGAAAGAAAUUGAGGAAUUCAGACUUCAUAAAAUAAUCGUGCAUGAGCCACCUCCCAAUUUCUGUUCAUACUUUAUUGCGGUUUAGUUGGUUAUUACUUAUGAUAUUUACUUUUUAGUUAGAGUUUUAAAGUAAAAACACACAAUAUUAAUCAAAAUCAUGUUUCAUCAAAACAAAAUGGUAAGAGAUAAAUCCAAUUCAAAUGUAAUAAAUUCAUACAAGAGCAAAGUCAGGCAUUUUAUUAUCCAUGAAAGUUGAAUUUUUAUUUUUUAUGCCUUCAGUAAAUUGUUUGCUUUUGUAUCCAACACAUUCUUUGGACAUUUUGGUUCUGGAAGCAAAAAUUAAGGACCAAAAGUGAUGGUGAAAGGAGCCAAAUUUGUUUUUGGCCUUCCAAAAGUUCUCUUUUAGAAAGGGAGCUAUUUACAAUGCAAUUCUGAGGAUAUCAUCUGCUGUCAUGUAGCUGUGAACAUAUAGUCAUUGUUUAAAUCGGCCUCUGAACUCAAAAUUGUUCAAUUCGGUAUCUAAACCUUAAAAAUAGUGUGCAUUUUAGUCGGAUAACUGAUAGGAUUGAUCAACUUGCUAAGUAGAUAGAUGGGUUUGUUACCUAUAGAACAGUAAAAAGUUGUAUUUUAUUAAACACUAUAUGUAAGCAUUUUGAUGGCAUGUAACGCCUAUGUGGACUGGAAACUUGCCUGGAUUAUAACACAUAUUUCACAUGCCUGAUGAAUAUAUUCAUGCAAUAAAAUAUCUGCUUGAGAUCCAUUUUAUUGCGAGCUGCAACGUACUACCUGACACCUUGUGUGUAAUUUCUUUUUUUUUUUUUCUCCAAAAAGUAUGACUAGCUCUUCUAUAUAUAAUUAAGAGAAACACCAGUCAGUGCUGUUAGAAAUUCUGCUAUACCCUUUGUGCAUAUAACCACAUUGCUCAGAAUUUCAAAAUGUAGGUACCAGAUGGAAUAUUUUCUUUUUUUAGUAUUAAGGAUCAUGUUACUUGUUGAUUAUUAGUGUAGGGGUCAUUUAUAGCUUCAUUUCUUUUGUUAUAACAUAAAAACUUACCACCAAUUCCUGUUGGUCAAAGUGGCAAGGAGCUCGGUUCCUUUAAGUAAAAUCUCAGUUUUGAAUCUUGUGAAUAGAGAAAACAGGUUUAGGAGACUUUGCCUCUUUUAUAGGGUCCAACUUAGCUCGACUUCAAAUUAAUCGGAGUUCAAAAUGACUACUUGACACCGAGAGGUCCCAAACCGAAAAAAAAAAAAAACAUGAAAACCUACCUGUAUGGUGGCUGUAAAAUGUCAAUAAAUUACCUAAAUCCUGCCGAGUCCCAAUCUAAUUAACCUGCACUAUCAACACUUGGUAUGGAACAUGUAAAAAUCAUUUAGCUCCAUUUGAUUAGUGCUUUUGUUUUUUUACUUUUUGCUAUUUGUCUUUUAUUUUUUGCUUUUUCACUUUGUAUUGAAGAAAACAAAAAGCAAACAACAAAAGCAUAAAUCAAAUGGAGCCUUAAAUUGGAGGUGCUAAAAUACUUGGUGGAUGUAAAAUGAUUGUUUUCAAUCUGUAUCUGCAUUGAGCUAAAUGCUAUUGAUAUGAUCUUCAUUCUAAGUUAUUAUGUUUGCACCUUUUUAAUGUGCAGAGAAUACUGGAACAUAAAAACACCCGGAACUUAUCAUUGCAGAUGCUGUGACAGGCCUCUUUUUGAGUAAGUCUUUUGAUUUUGUUAGGAAUUUCCAAGAACUAAAAUCAAUUGAAGCUACAACAUUCGAAACAUUUAUCAAUACGUGAUCCUCUCCUCCAGAUCAUUGACUAAAUUUGACAAAACUGUUGGCCUUCAUAUUAUCAGCCUAUAGGAAACAAUGUGAAGUCAAAAUUAGAUCUGUCAAUAAUUUUUAUGCCUAGUGAAGAAGUUCUGUGUGCUGCUAGCAAUGCUCAUCUAGGCCAUGUCUUUGAUGAUGGUCCUCCACCUACAGGAAAGCGUUACUGCAUCAAUAGGUAAAACAUUUUCUUUUAAUGCUGGGUUGUAUCUAAUUUUAUGCAAUUUAUUCUUUAUGGACUUCCUUUGAACUAUGGUUAUUUUGCAGCACUUCGCUAAAACUGAAACCCAUGUAAGAAAUAGUACUAAGCUUGCAGUUGCAAAGCACAGAUGAGACACUUGUGAUUGCGAAAAACGAAAUAAUAUUUUCACUGACUUUGGUGUAUCAUGCUCAAUUAAUUAGGUGUGAUAGCAAAUCCUUGUAAUUUUGUAGUAUUCAUGUAAGCCUGAUGGCGCAAGGGCAUGAUAAAAUCCUUGCAACAAGUUGUUGGCAGUAUAAAACCCUUUAAAAAUACAUAUGAAGUUGUAUAAAACAAGUUAAAGAUUAUUUUAUUUUGUUAAUAUCUUGAAGAUAAAACAUCUUGUUCAAGGUUGAUCCAAGUAAUAUAUAAGAAAAAAUUUAUAAUUAAUAACACAUUAAACUAAAUUUAUUUGAAAAAAAUAUUUUAGCUAACUUUAAUCAUUGCUUAUAUCAAACUUUUAGAAAUGAAAUGUUACAUGAUAUAAACGAAAGGUUACACACAAAAAAGAGAGAUUUGUUGAUGAGUACAAUAAAAACAUUUUCUAAUAAAAUUUUACUAACGAAUGUUUUUAUAUAUUUAUAAAAUUAAUUAACAUAUUUUUUAUAAUUUUUAUAAUAAUUAUGGUAAUAAUUUUAAUGUAUCUAAAAAAUUAUUUUCGUAACAUGAGAAUAUUAAAGAAUGCCCUAGACAAUGGUUUAGCAAAAUUUUAAUUGAAAUAAUUUCAAAGAAUGUUUUAAGCUGAGAUUGGGAUGAUUAAAUAUAAAGUACAAAUAGAUAAAACUUUAAAAAAAUUUUAAGGUUAAAAUAAUAAAAAGUUCAUAAAUUUUAUUCCUUUAUUUAAAUAAAUUUUUUUAUUUUUAUUGAACUUAAAUUAUUUUUUAUUUUUUAUUUUACAUUCAAAUAAACUUUUAAAUUUUAAUUUUAUCUAAAUAAAUAUUUAUCAUCUAAUUUGUAUUUAAAUAUAUUAUUUAAAUAUAAUAAAAAUAUAAAAUUUUAUCUAAAUAAAAUAAUAAAAUUCGAAAAAUUUUUAAAUAUUUUAGUCAAAAUUUAACUGACAUAUAUUAUUAUCAUAAUAUUUUUUUAGUAGCAAAUUUAUUGGGACCAAAAGAAAAAAUUAAAUAAAAGAAAAAAAAUCAAAUGCAAAACGUAAUAUGUGAGCAAAAUCUUUGUGUAUGUUUGAUGAUAACGGCAACUUCGUUUCUUAUCAGAAAAGAAGUGUCAGUAAUACAUAUUUGGAAAAAUGAAACAGUAACUUUUAUAAAUCCUGUGAUGUGAAAUAUUUUAUAUCUAUAAAUACACUUUGACAAAUUUCAGACAUUCAAAACCAAAACAAAACUAAGUUUUUUUUUUUUUUUAAGUUUUGAGUUAGUUUUAAUCUUUGAUUGUUUAGAUUAUCAAAAUGUCAGAAAAAGUCAUUUUGUUGGAUUUCUGGCCAAGUCCAUUUGGAAUGAGAAUGAGGAUUGCUUUGGCUGAGAAAGGAAUAAAGUAUGAGUCAACGGAAGAAGAUUUGAGGAACAAGAGUGAUUUGCUUUUGCAGAUGAAUUCUGUUCACAAAAAAAUCUCUGUUCUUAUCCAUGGUAAACCUAUUUGUGAGUCAUUCAUCCAGAUUCAGUAUAUUGAUGAGGUUUGGUGUCAUAAAUCUUCUUUGCUUCCUUCUGAUUCUUACCAGAGAGCUAUGCUAGAUUCUGGGCUGAUUUUGUUGACAAGGUUGCAUACAGGCAUGCAAAUAUGAAUAAUGCCUAAUUCGUUACCAAGGCAUCUUUUCUAGGUCCAGAAAGACCUCUUUAUUGACAAAGGAGCCAUAAACUUAAGUCUUUGGUUUCCAAACUAGAUAAUCUUUCUGUAUUGAGCUAUUAAUGUGAUGCCAUCAACCUGGCUUUUGGUCCUUGUUCUUGUUGCCCUGGUAACACCCAACUCCCGCCUUAAACUCAAAGCCAGACUGAACCUCGACAAACAGAACCACAGAAACUAAAAGAGACAGAUAAACUAGCAGAGCCCCCACACCAACCCUUCAAAUCAUCCAAACGCCCUCCAAUAUCAAGCACUCUGCUGGAAUAAAUUUGGAUGUUGUUUGUUGAUGGCUCUGGUGUAGGAAUUCUAUGUAUUAAAAUUGGUUUAUUAGAGCAAUUAAGAUGGCUAUCCCAUGCACCUCAUUUAAAGUUAUAAAAGUAUUAUUAGUGUGCUAGUAAUUGGUUCCACUAUUACUCCAAGGAACAUGAUAGUAAUUAUAAUGUGCAAAAUAACGGAAUGAGCUCAGUUGCAAAUAAAAUGCAAAUUUUAAGCGCUAAAGUGCCUCAUUUUCACAGACCUUGAACACUUUGCUUUCCAAAUCAAGUAAUUGAGGGUGACUUUGUGAAGAAUAGAUCUUAAUCUUAGUCUCCAAGUCUUCUUUCAUGGCUGAACUGACUGCUCUGUUGUUCCUGACGAGCCCGUUUAUCUAUAAACAAAUUUUACUAGGGCAAGUCCAUGCGUGCUUUGAUUGAUUUGGUCAGACUUUGAAUUUUGGGGGUUUUAUAUAUAUAUAUAUAUAUAUAUAUAUAUAAACAGUGUACUCAUUAAGCAUUAACUGCUAAUGCUGGUAUGAUAACUUUAAUCAAUAGGAUGAUUUGAUUUGAGAUACUUUGUGUUUCAUUUUUUUUUUUUUUAAUUUUGAUAAUUAGAUGCAUAAUCAAGUCAAGUUGUGGUGAAUAUUAUUUUUUCGUAUAAUUGAUAUUGAAUCAAGCAGAAACAGAUAACAUUCAUUCAUUUUCAUAAAUCUUCUCACCUGUAUAGACAUUUUUCUAGAUAAUAUAUAACAUAUUUUGAAUAAUUAUUGUUUAGAUAGUAUAUAAGAUGUUUUGCCUAAAUUAUUGUUUCAUAAAUAUGCAGAUGCCUGACAUUGGGAGGAAAAUAUGGGCAACUAAGGGAGAAGAACAGGCAAAUGCAAAGAAAGAAUUUAUUAAGUGUCUAAAGCUGGUGGAAGGAGAGCUUGGAGACAAGCCUUACUUUGGCGGAGAAAAUCUUGGUUAUGUA